rnacentral:lncRNA from 1 species
UCAGUUGCCCCUUCUGCAGUUUGCUUUGUUAGUGGCUAUUUUUUGGCUGGAACUUGAGGUAUGGUUGAAAACUUGAGGUCUGAGGCCUGAAGAAAGUUGCUGGGUUUCAAAGGUACUAAUCAACAUAUAGUCCCGCUUGGAAAUCUGUAAGUUUUUCGUCUUUUUUUCUUUUUCAAAAAAAAGAAAAAAGAAAAGAAAAGAAAAGAAAAAAAAAACCCCGAAAAAAUGAGUAAAUACUAAUUCAUUUAAUAUUGAUUUGUAACUUAUUAAUCGCUUUCUCUCAAUUGUCAUGUGUAAUUGUGUUUUUUAACCUGAUUAAUGACAGCAAAACAAUAUGCUCAGAACCAGAUGUUUGAUAUUCAGUUGUCUAUUUUCCCAUGAUGCUACAGUUAGUAAAAGUAGAAAUCUAGCACACAGGACAUGAUUCCAAAGUCUUCUAUUCCCAUGGUUUUUCAAACUAUUAUCCCCUUUAUAUAAACUGUCUAGAUAUGCUUUAAAUUAAAACUGCCAUUUCUGUUUCUUUUCCAAGUUUGUGUAUGUAAAACCCUUUGGAACAGUAGCACAUAUGACAUUUGCUCUAUUCUGGUUUGAGUUUAUUUGGCCAUUUCAAACCACCUUCUUUUCAUAUUUUUUUCUAGCCCAUUACAUGGUCUAAAUUGGUGUUAGUAACACAUCAAAUCACACGAUUAUAAAUGAUCAUUUUUGGCCUACACAUCUUUGCCAUUAAUCAGGAAGACAUGGUAAUCACUAGGAAGCUCAAACAGAGAACAGAAAUGCAGGGGUCUCUGGAAUAUUUAUUUGUAAGAUAUUUUUAGGUUUGCAUUUGUUUGAUUGGAUGUUGAGUUUAGUUUAGUUACAGCUUCUCCCAGUUGUGGCUUUCAUUGUCUCAUAUUUCCAUCAAUGAAGAGUAUUUCUUACUAUAAAAUAUAGAAGAGCUAUCCUAUAAGCUGUGAGGAUGAAGUUACAUAGAGAAAAAAUGUCUGGUUUGGAUAGUGUAAGUUAGGUGGGUGUGUAACAUUUGAUGCAACUUUUUUGGUUUAAAAAUUAGGCAGGCCAAAAAUUAGUUGACUGGUAGUUGUACCCCUUUUGCCAACUUUGACUGCUGGACCUCCAUCUUACAAGUUCAAUCUUUUCUAUGGUUUGCUUCCACGUGUACAAAACCGGCUGCCUUCGCCUUAUUUGGAGUUUUGGACACGCUCCCCUAACUCUUCGUAAUUUUAACGGGCCCCACUAUUAUGAAAAUUGAAAAGUAUAAUCAAUAAUAAAAAAUGUUGUGCGUACGCCUUAGGUGCUUCCUUUUAUUUAUUUAUUUAUUCUUUCAUCAUAUUUGUUAGUAUUUAAAACAUUUAUUUAUUCCUUAUUUUUAUUUAUUUAUAACUUCAUCGGAUCGUCUACAUUUUAUUAUUUACUUUUAAAGACUGAAAUUAGGGAUGUUAGUAGAACUGGUUUAGGAUGGAUUGUCCUCAUCCUAAUUUCGUCUUAUUUAUAUAAAAUAAUUCUUAUCUUCAUUGUCAUAAAAAAAUUAAAUUUUAUAAAGGGAUAUGAGAAUUUCUUAUAAUUGGUUCCAUCCUUUAAUUUUCUUUAAAAAUUAUAUAUAUAUAUGUGUGUGUGACAAUGGAAAAAUAAUGAUUUUAAAUUAAAUUAUUUUUUAAAAUUAAUUGGUAUAGGAUUGGGUAAGACAAGGCAAUACUUGGUCCUCUUCAGAUUGAAAAAAAGAACAUUGGUCCUCUUCAUAUUGAAAAAAAGAACAUUUCAAGUCUGUCUUUAAUUUAUUUAUUUUAACUUUUGUUUUAUUAAAAACACAAUAAGCAUCCAAAAAGACUCGUUCCAUUAUUAUUUCUAUUACAACUCACAUCUUUUGUAAGCAUUCAAUUAGUAAUUAGUAUUAAUAAGACAAAACAAGUAUCAGAAAACACUCAUUCCACUGUUAUCCUUACACCAAAUUACAAAUUUUAUAACUAUUGAAUCGGUAGUUGGUCGUUUCUAAUUUUAACACAAUUGUUUAUCAUGUAUAUAAUUUGAUUCCAAACACUUGAUUAAAAAAGUGAAAGUGAAGGCUUUUUAUUUUUCUCAAGUCUCCUAAUUUCUAAAAUAAUUCAAAUGUCAAAUAUAAAACGUAAAUAUAUUUAUUAUAAUACCUCAUGGAAUAUGUGGUGCAUGUCUCUCUCCAUAUAUAUUAUUAUACUUCUCACGGUUUCUUACCUUUUCUUACCUUUCUCACCCAUGUAUUUUAUGAUUAACCAGACAUUUUGGCCGGGUAAAGUGAAGCAUGAUGUCGUACCUUAGUCUAAACAAAUAUAGUUAAGCACAUCAAUCUGAGUUUGAAGACCCUUUAACAACAAAAAAUACAUCCAAUAAUUUUCAUUCAGAGAUCAUCUGGUGCAUCAGUGCAUGCAUCUUUCUAAAUAUUAUAAUAAGAGGAUUUGGUAGUCUUUCUUAUUUAUUUUUCUGAUUUACGUAAUUUUUAAAGGUCUGUUUGGGAGUCAUUCUGGGAAAAGCAACUAUAGUAUUUUUUUUGUCAAUAACAUUUUUAUUAAAAAUAUUUAAAUUAAAGAAAUGGGCAAUCAUUUACCGUUAGUUUGUGAUAUUUAAAAUGGAGGGUGGUUGUUCUCUCCACAUCUUUCCAAUUCCACUCCCAUUUUAUAAUCCUCAAAGCUUCAAUCACUUGCAUAUUUCUAAUCUCAAAAAUCCGAGUUAACAAUGAGAAAAAUCACUACCAGACUGACGUGUUUUCUUUGGCCCUUUGCCUCUCAUCUUUUUAUACACGUCCUGGCUAUGCCGGCCAUUCUCCUCCAUUAAACAAUUCUCUAAUUUUCUGCUUUUCAGUCACCAUUUCUUUGCCCCAUCAACCCCUUCUCCACCCUUUAAAAAUGUUGUCCAACUCUUCAUAACAACCUCUCUCUCUCUCUCUCUCUCUCUCUCUCUCUCUCUCUCUCUCUUUCUGGGAACUUAACUUCGGCUAUUGGGUUGACUAUGAAGGGGGGAUUUGAAGUUGUUCAUGGGGCUCUUGAUUUGAUCCAGCCCCAUGAACAAUGGGAGUAUAAUAUUAUUGGGCUUCAGGGUGCAAGUUCCAGCAAUUUUCCCAAGCCAAUGGUGGUCGAAAACCGAUCUAACUUGGAGAGGAACGAGCUGUCGGAGUGGGUGGAACAUGUCACCAAGCAGCUUAUAGAGGACCUGCCGGAGACUGUCGGUGAGGGCUUGAAGACCGAAGAGGUGACAAUCGUGGGAGGGAGCUUUGCCCCGGUGCUUCAAUGGGGGAAUGAGGCAGCUGGAAGUCAAAGUAAUAACUUGAGUACUGGAGAUAUCAAUGGAGGAUUGAGUAGGCCGGAUGAACAUGGCUUGGGCCUGAUAACGCUUCUUCUGGAGUGUGCGGUGGCGAUAUCGGUUGAUAAUUUAGGGGAAGCGCAUAGGAUGCUGCUUGAGCUGACACAAAUGGCUUCUCCUUAUGGAGCAUCAUGUGCCGAGAGGGUUGUGUCCUAUUUCGCCAAGGCCAUGGCUAGUAGAGUCAUUAACUCAUGGUUAGGGCUUUGCUCGCCUCUAAUCAGCCAUAAGGCUGUCCAUUCUUCACUUCAAAUCUUUAACAACAUCUCCCCUUUCAUCAAGUUCGCACACUUCACCUCCAACCAAUCCAUUCUCGAGGCCUUCCAUCGUCGGGACAUGGUUCAUAUCAUCGACCUCGACAUCAUGCAAGGCCUUCAAUGGCCGGCCCUCUUCCACAUCCUGGCCACCCGCAUCGAGGGUCCUCCGCACAUUAGAAUGACCGGCAUGGGCUCUUCCAUCGAGCUCCUCACCCAGACAGGAAAGCAGCUCUCCAACUUCGCCAGGCGGCUUGGACUCUCAUUCGAGUUCCACCCCGUCGCAAAGAAAUUUGGAGAGAUCAACGAUAUUACAUCUCUGCAAAUCCGGCGCGGAGAAACCCUAGCUGUGCACUGGCUGCAGCACUCCUUAUACGAUGCGACAGGACCCGAUUGGAAGACGAUAAGGCUACUGGAAGAGCUGGCUCCCAGAGUGAUCACACUGGUUGAACAAGAAAUAUCCCAUGGUGGGUCAUUUUUAGACCGUUUUGUUGGUUCUCUUCACUACUACUCGACCAUUUUCGAUUCACUGGGGGCGUCAUUUCCAAGCGACGAUCCUGGUAGGCAUCGGGUGGAGCAUUGCCUUCUGUAUAGGGAGAUAAACAACAUAAUGGCAAUAGGGGGGCCAGCGAGGAGCGGAGAGGACAAGUUUAGGCAAUGGAGAAGUGAAAUGGCAGCAAGGAAUUGCUUUGUACAAGUGCCGAUGAGCGGAAACGCCAUGGCUCAAGCACAGCUGAUACUGAACAUGUUCCCUCCGGCUCAUGGUUAUAGCCUUGUACAGGGAGAAGGGACACUGAGGCUUGGAUGGAAGGAUACUGGCUUGUACAGUGCUUCUGCUUGGACUUCACAGGCUUAUAGAUAGCUCCUAGAUUGGUUUAUGUACCAAUUUUUUUUUGUCUUUUUGGUGAAUUACUGCAUGUAUGUAGAGUUCAAAUACCUAUAUAUUUUACAGUCCAACUUCAAGUAGGUUUUUCUUCUUCAUGCCCCCACUCUCUGCCCCAAAAAUAUGGAACUUUCCUAACUCCAAAAGACAGUUCAUAACCAAAGUCCAUGACUCUCUAUGCCCAUGUCCUUUAUCAAUCUGAACCCCAAAUGUUUGUCCACCUUAGUAAUUGGUUGUGCAGAUCAUAUGGGUAAUUAGGAAACCUAUGCGUUGGGAUUUAAUUUUUUGUGGGUCGCAUGUGGUAAUUCAUGUGUUACUCAAAAGAAGAAUGAAAAAAACGGAAGAUAGAACGAAAGAAAAUUGAUCAUGCUGCACUUCGAUCAUAUUAUUCUUCUAGUUUAGCGAUGAUUGGAUAGGGUAUUUGUUCAUUACUUUUAUCAUAUGGAAAAUGUUAGGAGUUAACCUAUAAGCAACUUGCUUCUUUUGUCCUAUUAAGAGAUUUUAAAUCCCCAUAUGAAUGGGUCUUUGAUAUGAAUUAAAAAGCCCUCAAAGGAAACCCUUUCUGGUAUAAUAAUAUAUAUAUUUAGAUUCCAAUUGGAUGCAAGGUACAUAAAAUCUAAGUCCAUUAAUAAACUAUGGCAGUUUGAAAUGGUAAGCUUAGGAGCAUAGGUUAUGGAGUUUGAGAAUAUAUACCAGAAAGGGGAUUUAGGAUCUUGGUAAAUUUUAAAUUAUAUGCCUCUAAAUUAAUCACAAGGUUAAGGGCGAAAAAAUAAACCGAUACAUGUGUCUAGGAAGCCAUGGGUCAGGUUAAGCUAGGAUGGUUUAAGACAAAUGUCCAAUGCACAAAUAAAAAGACACCCCUUGUAUAUAGAAUGACACCUAAGCAGUGAUAGAUGUAUUUAAUACGAUGGAUGGACAUUAAAUUUGAUUGAACAUCAUCCUCAUAAUUAUAACAUGCUUAGACCUUACCCCCAAGUCAAAGAACCCUAUAGUCAUUUGCUGAUGAGGCAUAUGUAAGGUAUAGGCAAGCCUAGGCCAUUCAACCAAAAUCAUGGCCAAUGCGCUCAAUCAACCUAACCAUAAAUCCCUAUAAAAUCCACAACAAUUAAACACUAAAGGUAAGUUCUACUCAUGUUUCAGUUGACUUAUAUGUUCUCUUCUUCUUUGUAGAAAACCUAAUGGCUAACUCGUUAGUUGGGGGUAGAUCAACUAAAGAAGUCACCCCGUCGUAACCAAUUCCUAUCAUUUUGUAGGAAAAACAUGUGACCACACAAAGCUCACCGCUUGAAAAGAUUGAAGAAAAUGAUACAACAAAUUUCCAUCAUUUAUGGGAAGCUAACAAAAAACCUAAAACCACAAUCAUGGUGUACUCUUGCACAAGCAGGAGGCAAGUGAAAGAAGAAUUACCAUCUUCUAUAGAGCUUUAGGAAUAAAUAAUGACAUAGAGAAAUUGAUAAGUGAAAGAAGGGAAGAGACUCUACAAAGAUUGGAAGAACUAGCUAAAAGAAAUGAAAUUAAUGUUGGCAUAGAAGAACACAGGGCUUAAAAGUCGUCAAGACGAUGCUAGUCAACAACACACACUAUAGCCAUGGAAAAGAAGUUGCAUGUAAAAGAAUGAAAAGAGAAAAAAAGAAAAAAGAAUGGGAAAAAGAUUUUGCGGAUUCCAAGGACUAAGCACACCAAGUGACAAGCAAUACUAAGAUUCCCCUACUUGAAGGGAAACUUUUGUGAGCACCAAAUCAAUAAGGGAAACUUUUGUGAGCACCAAAGUUCAAUAAGAGGAGGCGCCACAAUGGAUGUUGAGUAGGACUUCUAAAACAACAACCCUACAUCCUAUGUGCAAAAUCAUUUCAACACUAUUCAUAGAAGAAAUGCUCUAAGAGGAAUCCCUAAAAAGUUCACAAUUCUCAAAUUCAACAUGUUUAACAAUAUCAAUGAUUCACUCAAACACUUAGUGCAAAUUCCACAUAUGAUGAUACUAGCACAUGAUAACAAUUGUCUAUUGUGCAAAGUCUUCCCUUUAAGCCUAUAUGGACCAACCUUCCUAUGGUUCGCCAACUCCUACCCUCCUUUAUUACUUGCUUUGAAAGCUUGGAUGGGAUAUGUUGGGAAUCCCUAGAUCAUUCCAUUCCUAGUCCUAAAUUACUCAGGGUGUAUGCUACUAGUCCUAGGGCUCUCUAGAUAUAAUGGAAAAUCAUGACAAUAAAACCAUAAAUAAUAUAUAUUUAGAGAGAACAAAGAUCAUACUUGUGAUAUUGAUAUUCCUAUAUUAGAUCCUGUCAGUGAAAAGAUAUGUCAAAAGUGGGCUAAUCGUUGCAGAUCUCACAAAUGUUAUGAUCUUUCGUUGUAAUGACUUUUCUUUGAAUCGUAACACUAGGAAUUGUAGAAUUAGGGUGGAAUCCUCUCUAGGGUUGGUUGUUAGCUAUAAUGUUUCUCUCUUUGGAGUGAAUAGAAAGACUAAAAAAAUUGAAGUCCUAACCCUUAGGUUUAUAUAGGCUUGCAAUAAACUUAAGUGACUUGAAUUCAUCUUGAGCUUAAGUCAUUUAAUCAAGCUCACUUGAGUCUUAAUUGAUUAAUUAGUUUUAUUGGGCUCUAAUUAAUCAAUUAUAGGGUUAAUUCAUCUAUUAGCCCAAUUUAAAGAGAUCAUUUACUAAUUCUUAUGCAACCUUGCAUUUUUAUCACAAUGCCCUUAUACACAUAUGUGAAUAGAAGACUUAACUAACCCUAAUAAAUCGUGCAAUUAAGGAAUAUGAGCUUGAUCAAGGACCACUGAGACCUAUAGAAAAAUAUUGUUUUCCUCAAAAUUUGAUUUUGAAAUUGACUUAAUAUCUCACUACAGAAAAACAAUUGCACUUAAGUAUCUUAUGUAUAUUACAAUAAGAUACAAGAACUCGAGUCCAUAACCUAUUAUCCAUUGCAUAUAGACUCCCCAUGAACUGGUGUCUAUAAUUUAACGAGGUAUGUGUUACCAAUCUCUUAAGAUUACCUCUCUAAUAUUUGAGUUACAAAUUCUCAUACUUUGUGAUCAAUUGACAUCUCUAACUUACAAAGAGCAUAUGUUAAAUUUCACUAAAAGAAUUAUUGCAUCCACAAAUUUUAUAAUUACAUGUUUUUAGGCUCACCUAAGGGGACACAUUGUCUCAAUCUCAUAAGAUAUCAUGGUGUCUCUAUUGAAAAUACUUGUCGUCGACUAUCUUAAUCAACAAUGAACUAAUUCAUAGAGACCUCCCACAAGCCUCAAGAAAUGCUUCACUCUUGAACAAUAUCUCAAAUGAUACUUCACACUUAAACUCAUCUCACACUGUUUACAAGAAAUGAAUUUCUUAAUACAAAUUCAUAGUUUACAUUUUUGUUCAAAGAAUACAAGGAAAAUAGGAUUGAGAGCUAUGCUAAGAAUGAAAAGUAAGUUUAAGUUCAAUGCACUCAAAAUACCCUUUUAAGGUUAAAAAAAUUAUUAAAUAAUAGUUUAAAACUCCUUUCCUUUGUAAAUGAAGUAAAUAACAUUUACAUAGGAGUUAAAAUGUCAAACUAACUAUUAGAAAUAAAUUACUUCAAACCGAAUGUCCAUGUGGCCAUAUGUAUUCUAGUUGUUUGAGCCUUUGAUAAGGUGGAGAGAGUUGUUGAAGGCUAAUAUAUAUAUAUAUAAACAUCCAUUCAGUCAUUCACAUUACCAAGAGGCAACCACAUGGUCACCUACAUUGCUUCUAGUAGCUAAAACUACCAUAAUAGAGCAAGGGGACAAUCACUUGGAUGUCCAUAUGACAACUGGAUGAUUGUUUGGUCAUUCACAUAACAAUUAGAUGACCAUGUGGUUAUCUACAUUGAGAAAAUAAAGGUUAUACUUAAUUAAGAAAAACACCCAAAAUGGGGGGUGAAUUGAGUUUUUUUAAAAACUUUUUCAACACAACAAGUUCAAGCACAAUAUAAUAAAAAAUAAAGAGAUAGAGUUAGAGAAUUUAAACUCGGGUUUUAUAGUGGUUCGACAUUACCUACGUCCACUCUCCUCAAUCUCCUAACCGAGUGAGGGUUCCACUAACUUGAAGCUUCAACCAUGCUUCCAAUCUUUUUACACUUGGAUUCCGGCUCCAAUUGGCUCUUACACAAUCUCUUCAAGAUUCAAACCUCUUGAAGGCUUUAACACUCAGUUUUUACAAGAAUGAAUCCCUCAACCUAGCUCAAAGAUAGCUCAAAUACAAAACAAAGUUAGGAUGACUCACAAGGGUGCAUUAAAGGAUAUGCAAGUGAUGAUUUAAUACACUAAGAAAGAAAUGAGAGCUUUUAGGUUAUAAACAGAUAGGUAAAUAAUUGAUUUCAAGUGUUCUCGAUAUCAUAAAUGAAAUGGAGCUCUCAAUUUAUAGGUUUCUAAGCUCGGGAGCCAAAAACAACAAAAGGUAGCCUCGAUCGGUCGAGCCAGGGGUUGACCAGUUCACUAGCUGUUGGAGCAUUUAAUGCUUUGGCAAGUUACCGUUGCCUCGACCGGGAAAGGGGUGAACCUCAACUGGGAAGAGGAAGCUACUGGAUGAGAGAAAGUGUUUUUGGCAUUCCUCGACCUGACCUCGACCAAACAAGGGCAACCGGUCGACCGGUUCCCCAACCGAUUAAGCCAGUUGGCCAAAGCCUCGACCGGUUCAGCCUUUUGGCCCCAAAAGCCUAUCCUUUUCAAUUUCUUUAUUUUCUAACACUUAGGCAAGGUUUUUAGGUGAAUUAAUAUGUCAAUUUUAAAACGUUUUACUAAGGUACAUUUGAUAAAACCCAAGUUUUAAUUAAAUCAAACUUUUAAAGGAUAAACCGAUUUUUCAAAGAUGCAUGAAAUGGUAUGAAAAUCCUAAGUGCACCCAUGCAUUCAUCUUACAUUCGUUUCCUAUGAUCAGGAGUCUUCCAAAAGUCUCGAUCUUGUAUCCAUUUGGUCCUUUGAUGAAUUUCUAAAUUUAUACCUAAGAUUCUUUACCAUUCAAAACAAUUAGUCACUUAAUCAUGGUCUGUUAUCAUCAAAACUCGAUUAAGAAAACCCUUGGGCUAACAUACAUGUUAUUAGCCCCAAUAUUUUUCAAAGUUUAUGCAUGUUUUAGACCCAAGAACUUUUUUUUUAACUAACUCGUAUGAGUGUAGACCAUCUUCUAACAAAAUCUUGAUAGAUAUUUUGAGAAUUUUUCAAGUAUAAGGCACUUCGGUUAAGUUAAUGAUAUUUUUUUAAGAAACCUUGAGAUUUUCAUGAAAAACUUAAGGUCUAAGAUAUUCUCCUAGGGUAGGUAAGUAUUUAUUGUUGGGAACCUUGAAUUACUUUGUUCUCUGACCCUAAGUCAGGUAGAGUGCAUGCAAUCUAUUUUAAGCUUCUCUAGAUCUAAGAACAACAAAAAGAAAUAACCAAAAUAGAUACUAAAUAUAGAGAUUAGAAAAACCAUACUUGCAAUUUGAAUGUUCCUAGAUCAAAUCCGAAUAAUAUGUCAAAUCUGCGAUAGUUGUUAUAUAGUUUGUUUAUAACAAUCUUUUACUCAAUCUCUUUCUUUAUGAAUCCAAACACAAGAGAAUAAUGAGCUCCUCUUCCUCUCUUAGGGGUGGCUAGGGUUUUUUUUAAUAUCUAUUUAGAAGACAGUGACCAAAACAUUAAAAAACCUUGAACCUUAAACCCCUAAGGGGGUUUAUAUAGGAUUUCCUAUGAGAUUAAGUGACUUGAGCCUAAACUAGACUUGGUUUGCCUAAUCUAAUCCACUUAGGUUCUAAUUAAUUAAUUAGCCCUAAUGAGCUCUAAUUAAUUAAUUAGCCCAAACCACCAAUCCAAAAAGACCGUUCAUAAGAUAUAAUGCAACAUGACAUUUUUACCAAAACACUCUUAUGCACACUUAUGAAUUACAAACCUAAAUCCCUAAAAUAAAAUGUGCUACCAUGAACUACAAUUUUGAACAAAGACCAUUGGGACCCAUAGGAAAAUAUUGGCUUCCUUAAGAAUCCAUUUUUACCAAAGAGAGUCAACUACACUCUAGUAUCCUAUGAAAUUAUAACAAGACGAAACCUAGAUUCAUGACUUACUUUUCAUUGCAUACAGACUCCCUGUGAACUGAUGUUUGUAAUAUAACAUAAUAAUGUUAUCAACCAAUCAAUAUUACUUUUACAAUCCUUGAAUUGUAGAUCCUCAUACUAUAUGAUCAACUGACAUACUCUAGCACACAAAGAACAUAUGUCAAAUUUCACUAAAAGAAUUAUUAUCACCAUAUAUUUCAUGAUCACAUGUCCUCUACAUCACCCAAAGAAACACACUAUCUUAAUCCCAAGAGAUAUUAUGAUGUUUCUAUAGAGAAUACUUGUUGUCACUAAUCUCCAUCAAUAGCAGCUCAAUUCAUAAGGAAUAUAUGACCACUUUAGGGUCUCACCUAUAGGUCAAAAUCUCCUAUUGAUUUUAGCAUAAGCUUAAUAUCAUCUCAAGGUUGAGAAUUAAUGCAAUAUAGUAGUUUAGUGAAUCAUAAAAACCUAAUAGUUUUACAUUACGAUUCACCGUUAGCCCUAUCCAAUAUGUAACCAAACACACUAGUACACUCACUACGGAAAACUCAUCCUGACAGUCAAGAUAAGUCAUCCUCUAAUUAGGAAGUAAUGCACUAUAAUCUUUAUUAAAUUACUCAAAUCCUAUAAUUGAUUGUGAACCACUUCUUAUCUUGCAAGAAACUCAUGAUUUGUUUCUUUUAUGCAACUCCUAAUGCAUCUAAGUUAUGUACAAUACAAGUGAUAUGAGUUUGAAUGCUCAAAUCCAUAUCAAUGUAAAAACUGAAUAGCAAAUGGAAAAUCGUGUCUAACUGUUGCAUCAUGUCUUGUUUUUUUAAGGGUUUUAUCAUAACAUUUCCAUCCUAAAAAUGAUUUUCAUUCGAAUUAUAAAAUUAUAAAACCAAUUAAAACUUAUGGAUUAAUGUUUUGAUGAUUAAUAAAAAUAUGCAAUAUUAACUUAGUGUGCCUAUCAUCUUACAUAAAGUAUCCUAAUGAUAAACUUGAUAAACGUUUUCUUCAUUCUUCUUGAAUUCCUUUUUUACUCCAUGUAUCUUCUUUGUGAAGGUUCAAAGAAGAUGUUCUUACUAAUCACACUUAAAUAUGAUCAUUAGAUCCAAAUCUUGUUUUUUAAUUAUCAUCAAAACAUGAGAUUAAUCAAACCUUAGUCUAACAAAUUGGAAUCCAAAUAUGUCUUCAAUGGUACAUAAGUAACAUGAUUUAGAUAAAAACAAGGCUCAAAUCAUCCAACUUAGCUUGAAUUGAUAUCAUAACUCUAGCUAUGAAACUAAUGUUUAUUUUGAGUUAAAUGUAGGAUAAAGGAAUACAAAGAAUGCAAAUGAAUGAAAACUCAUUAACCAAGGUAGAAAAAUGGAUCAAACACUCAUAAAAGAUAGACUUGAGGUAUGUGGAAAAUGAGAAGAAACAAAGCAAGGGCAUGAAAUCAAGGCAUAAUCAUAAAAGGUGAGCAAUGAAGCCUAUGGAAAGAAUGGAGAGACUAAACAACCAUAUUGGAGGCAACUUAAAGCCAAAGCCAAGGAAUGAAGGAAAUGGACAUGGCAAGAUCAAGAGAACAAUAAGAUUGAAUUUAGAAGCUCAAUUUGAAGUUCGAGAUGAUGUUUGAACUCAAAUAAGUAAGAAAAACAAUAGCAAGAAAUUCAAUUCAAAUUCUCUUUAACAAUUUUGAACUAAGCAAGACAAGGAUGGAAGCACUAGAAAUUUAGUUUGAAAUUGAUCAAUUUUGAACUGAAACAAACCAAAAUGGGAUACCUAAAAGCCUUGUUCAAAAUCCAUGUAUAAUUUUGAAACUAGGCACUCUCAAUUUUGAAUGGCCAUUUUCAAUUUUGAAUAAAACCUUUAGAUUUUGAAUAAAACUUCUCUAGGCCAUUCCCAUUUGAUUUUUGGGACUUCUCCAUCACCAACCUAAUUUGGAAAUGGCUCUAAUUUGCUCAAAAUUUGUUAUUUUUAUGAUUAUUUGGGAUAAUAUUGCUUAUUUUUUAAUAUUAUUGGUGCAUGUGGUUAUGCCACGUGUCUUAGGAUUAUUUUUACCAUCUAAACUUAACAAUUUUAGGUUCUAGAUUUUUUUUCUUUGAAUAGAGUACCUAGAACAUAUUGAAGACUUCCUGGGUUUGUUGUUUAUGUUUUCUACUUGAAAAUUAUUUUUAGUUAAUUUUGAUUCAACGUGUCUUUUUGCUAUUCUUCUAUGGAUUUGUGAGUAACAACACUUUCAUUAGAGGCUAAAAGCCUUCUUAAGGUGUAAAAUGUGAAAGCUUAGGGUUAGAGUAAAACAAGAACAAUAAGAAAUAGAAAUUACAAUCGAUUUGUUUAGUGGUUUAAGGCAAAAAUUAAUCAAAUUGAAAUGUUCCAUGUGUUUAGAUUAGGGAAUAGUAUAGUAGUAUUUUACUGGAUACCAGUAAUUCUUGGAACCCCUUGAUCACUAGUUAUCGUUUUUUUUUUUAUUGUUAUCCAUCCAAAGACAAAUCUACAGGAGUAUAAAUGGAUUGAAAAGCUAAACUUAAACCCUAAUAAGAUUUCAUUCAUUAUAUGGUAAUUAGGAAUCAAAACUAAAAAGAACAAAAUUAGGUUUUCAAUGCAACUCUAGUUCUCAAGCUGAUUUCAAACAACCAAGGAUUCUUAAACCCUAAGAUCACCAUAAAUCAUAGUCUUUGUUUGCUCCAAGCCAUAUUCUCAAAGCUGGGUUGUGGAGUUGUCAUAUUUUGUCAAUUAAUUAGAAACCAAUAUUCUAGUAAAUUAUUUUUUCUUGAAAUAAUUUUAAUUCAUUGAAAACCAACUUGUACAUCAUUUUCACCUUAAGAUCUUGGUAAACCAAUCAUCUUAGACUAGCAUUGCAGAAUUCCAUUAUGCUAAUCUCUCAAGAUGACACAUGGAGUACUAUAAGCCAUAGGAAUCCUUUCUUUGAUGUUUUUUUUUUCUUGGUCAAGGUCAUAACUAGCAACUAGGUUGUUAUAUUUUAGUACAACUGAGAAAAGCAAUCAAGGUGUAAGCAAAGCCUUGCCUUCACAUGAUUCAAGGGGAUAUAGCCUUCCAUAGAAUGUAUGAGCUACAAUUGACCCAUAUUCACAUUGGGGGAAUUUCAAAUUGGUGAACUAAAAUGCCACAUCCGACAACUGACAAGAGCCGAGAGGUGAAGACAAGAAGCAAAGAGAUGGAGAAAUGAGGAGAACAUAAGGAAAAAGAAAAUGAUGGGGGGAUUGCCUUAUGUAGGCAUAUGUAAGCGACCUUUGGGAAUUUCAAUCAUAUCUCUUUUCCCACCCACCAAAUCACCCAUAACUAAGGUGUGAUUAAGAUCUUACAAAUAAAUCAACGAAUUCAUAAUCAUUGAGUAAUUCAACCAUCCACAUGGCCAAUGCACCCAACCACCUAAUUCCAACUCUCUGUAAGUUCCACAGCAAUUCAACCCUAAAGGUAAUUUUACACAUAUUUCCAAACCCCAUGACUGAUUUGACUGUGGGAAGAGGGUCAGCCAAACUGGCCACCCCACUCUAAUCAAUCCCUAUUUGGUUGAAAGAAAAAUGUGUCAACACGCAGAGCCCACCACUGCCCAUGACUUAAGGAGGGGAAGUUAAAUAAGGUGUUCUCUGCAAUGUCUAGAAUUCAACAAGUCCAACAACCGCCACCUAAUCUAAAGGCAACCAUCCAACAAUGCUUAAACGUUAAGAGUGAGCAAUAGUGAAAAUGGUGAAUACAAAAUCAAGGAUCUAGAAAAUGAUACAUUCUUGGAAGUUCAUCUUAAGAAAAUUACCUUUUAAGGAAAAUUUAAAUCUCCCAAGAUUAUUGGGGACUUUUUGCCCUCCCUAAAUUAUAAAAGAUUAAAACGACUAAUCCCUUUAGGAAUAAAGGAUUUGAUGCAUUUAGGUUAUGUUUUGUUCCCACAAAUUUGAAAUAUAUAUAUAUAUAUAUAUAUAUAUAUAUAUAUAUAUAUAUAUAUAUAUAUAUAUGAGUGAAAAAACAUAAAGAGAAAAAAAUUAAAAAUAUAUUUAAAGUUAAUAAAUACUUUUGAUAUAUUACUUCUAAUUUUUUUCAUUAAUUUAACUUUUUUAUAUAAAGAUUAAAUAACUUUAAUAUAUAGAAAUUUUUUAAUAAUUUUAAUUAUAUUUAACUUUCUUUUUUAUUUUUCAUAAUAAAAUCAAACAUGAAAAAAAUCAUUUUUCUUAACAUUGUUUUAAUCUUUUCUAAUCCCUUCUCUAAUGUCCUAUUUCUCAAAUUUUCAAAUGUAUUUGGAAACUCACAUUUUUCUCCUUUUCUUUUCUUUUCCCUUUUCCUUUUUUUUUUUUUGGAUGUAGACUCAAUUUUUUGAACCCAUCAUUUCCUAUUCAAGAAAAUUCAUCCUCAAAUUAUCAUAUAUACAUUUUUUUCGAGCAUUUUCUUUUAGUAUCUUAAACUCACGCAUUUAUGGUAUUCCAACUCCCCUCAUUAUAUUACUUAAUUAACAUGUUCUUAAUUUUAAAAAAAAAAUCUAGUUGAACAAGCAUAAACUUAGGUGACAUUUAUUUUCUUUUUCUAUCUUAAAUCUAGAUAGAAUUCAAUUUAAUCUAAAUCUAAAUAAUUUUUAAUGAUGUUAAAUAUUAAGUCAUUUAUUUUUUUAUUGUUUUUAUUUAAAUUUUAAAAUAAGCUGUUUUAAAAAUUAAGUUGUAAAAUUAUUUAUUAUUAAUUUAUUACUAUUUUUAAGAUAACUUUGUCUUAAUGAAUAAAGUAAAAAAAAAUUUACUUUUAUUUUAUAUCUUAAGGCAACUUGCUUGAAGGCUUAAAUAAAUAAAUAAAAUGAAAAAUGUUGAUGAACAUGAUAUUAAGAAAAUAUUUUUGAAUUAGAGAAAUCUGAUAUAGUUCCAUUAAUAUUAAUGCAAGAGAAAAAGACAAUAAUUUUCUUCUUAAAAGAAUAUUAAAAUGAAUAUAUUCAUUUGAAAAUUAGAUGGCUUUUUUUAAAAGCAUCACCUACAAAAUGCAAUGACUUUGAAAAAAGUUGCCAAAAAGUUAAUUACUUUAAUCAUCUUUGACAAUUUAGCUUAAUAUUAUAUAAAACUUAAAUAUUUCAUAAAAUUCAAAGUAGAACCCACUUUUAAAGCGAGCAUGCUAGUUUCAAAUAAGUACAAAUCUUUUUAUCUUUUCAUUUUUCUCUUUUAUCAAAUUGUAUUAAAAACAUAGCAUUGAAUAUUAAAACAAAAAUGUCUUGCACAAAAAUAUGUUUUUUCAACAUCGAAAAUGUAUCAUCAAUCAAAUUAUGUUAUAUGUACGUUUUAAGGUUACAUUGUUUAUACUCUAGUCUCAUUUAUUUAUACGAACUUGGUCUCAUUUAUUUAUAUUAUUGUUCAAUAAUUUAGAUCUUACCAUAUAUAUAUUCAACUGUUCAAAUCUUUUAUUUGAUUGGUGUCAUUACGGUACCUUGCCUUUUCCUAAAACAAAAUCUUCAUAUACUAAAAGACGAUAAUUUUUUAUUCUUGGGCUAUAAAUAAAUGUAUUGCACAAAAGAUAUUUGUAAACAUCCCUUUAUUCCAAAAUUAUUAGUAAAAAAAUUAAAAAUUAAAGAAGAAAAACUCACUGCAUUUUUUGUUUUUACACAAGUUUCAAGUUCAUUGUUACCUACCCAUUUUUCAUAUGAACUUUCUUAUGAAGUACUCCUCAAAACCUUGAAAGGUUUCUUAAGCAAGAGGAAAAUGUUCCCUGAAUGAAUGACAGUUAAACCAAUUGGUUGCAGAGUUUAUAAAAAUCUUAGCAUACUAAAAUAUGGUUUUUCUUUUUUUUUUUUCUUUUUUUUGGAAAUUAUCAGGUUAAAAGCUUAUAUCAUGGAACUGGCCAAGGUGAUAUAUAGUCAUAAAAUUCUUUGAAUGUGUAACCCAAAAAAAAAAAAAAAAAGAGGAAGAAGAAAAAGAUGAUACAAAAUAUAUCCAAUAAUUUUAGAUCUUUGAUAUUUUGCAUGAAUUUGAUCAUGCAUCCUCCUUUGGCCAUGCAUAAGGCUGGUUUUAGAUGACCAUGGUAAAGUGCUUUCGGUCUAUAUAUGGGCUUUUUUAGCAGCACUUUUAUGAAAAGUACUUUUAAGACUUUGUUGGUAUUUUUAUAUAAAUAAGAUAAUUGCAUUUAAUAAUGUUUUAUAUUAUAUGAUAAAAUAAUAAUUAGUGAAAUGUGUAUUUAUUAGUAUUAUUCCAAGAGAUUGUUUGGGAAGUGCUUAUAGUGUUUUUGUUAAUAGCUUUUUCAUUAUAAACAUUUUUAAGGAAAAUCAUUAGUGUAAACAAACUAAAAAUGUUUUGAUAAUGUAUUAUAAAAAAAAAUUAAAAAAAAAAAAAGUGAUAAUGCUCGAAAAUUACUUCAAGUGAUUCUUUAAAUUUUUAAAAAUAAUUUUCAAAAUUUUGCUAAACACCUAAUUUUUAUAAAGAAAUGCUUUUAAGUAUUAAGAAACAAUUCUAACCUCUCUUAAAAUUGCCUUUAAACAGGUUCUAAGAAUGUGUUUGGGAUUAUUUUUAUUUGAAAUACUUUUAAUUGAAGUAUUUUCUCUAAGGUUAUGUUUUGUUCUCGGAAAAUUUGAGAGAAAAUAUGAGGGAAAGAACAUGGAGAGGAAAAGUAAAAUGAAAGAAAAUAUAAAAGAAAAUAAAAAAUAGGUUUAAACUCAAUAAACUAUUCUCACAUGUUUUCUAAAACCGAUUUUACUUAUUUCCCUCUUAUAUAAAGAUUAAAUAAUGUAAAUAUAUAUAAAUUUAUAACAAAUAUUAAUUAUAUAAAAUUUUCUUUUGUAUUUUCCAUUAUAAAAUCAAACAUAAGAAAAUUAUUUUUCUUAACAAUUUUUUUUCUCAGCAUUUUUUGAAAACCAAACAUAACUUAAAAGUUUUUAAAAGAAUCACAUAUCAAAUAUUUCUUAAAAAAUAUUAUAAUUGAUUUUUUAGUUUUUUAAAAGCGAUUUCUAAAUUUUAUUAAACUUCUGAAUUAUUUUUAAAACCACUUUUUAAUAUUAAAAUAUUCUCUAAAAGUACUAUAGACUAAACUCUAAGAAUAGCUUUAAGUUAAUUUUUUAAAAAAAAAAGGCAAGGACUUAACUAUUAUAAGAAAAGUAUUGUAAAACAUUAAAAACUAAAAAGGGCUUUUAAUCCCCCUAAACUAUUUCCAAACAACCCAAAACUCAAUCAUUUAAUAACAAUGAGACACGUGCAUGCAGAUGUGAACUUUUUUUUUUUCUUUCUAAUUUUAAAUUGUACUCCUUUUUGUUAAAGUAUACCUCAAAAGGAUGCAAUAAAAUUUGUAAAAGAAAAAUUUAGGGUUUCAAAAAAGUUGGAUACUUUAAUCAUUUUUAAUCAUGCAAUGCCCCAAAACUUGAUAAAUUCAAAGUUAGAACAUGCUUUCAAACUUAGCUUUAACUUUAAUAAGGCCAAAUCUACAAGGAAAAGUAUAUAAUUACCCAAAGUGAAAAAGCAUAAAUCAAGUCAUUGGUAAAAGUUUUAUGGAAUAAAGCUUUCACAAAAGUGGAAGAUAAAAUUAUAGUAUUAAAUCUAUUUUUUACUCUUUUUUUAAAAAAAAAAUUAAAAAUGAAGUCAAAUUAUCAUUCAAACUUGCCUACAUCAAUGUGAGAUUUAUAAGAUUUUUAAUUAUAAUUUUUGUAUUAUAUUGUAAAUAAUAAGAAGAAUAAGAUUAUUAUUCCUACUAAGAAUAUAUUUUUUACAAAUAAUUUAAUUUAGAGCAAUAGAUGUUUCCCUUAUUAGUGCACAUUAAAAAAUAUCUUUAAAUAUAUAUAUAUAUAUAUUGCAAGUAGAUAGAUUAUAAAAUCGAAAAAGAACUAAAAACACAAGAUUUACUGUGUCUCAAUGACAGCAUAAAAACAUUUUUUACAACUUUUCCCAAAAUUUAAGGUUUUUACAUUAAUCAAAUAGCUUCCCAAUCAAAGUGAUUCAAAUCUUUUAGACUUAGAUUUAAAGUUCAAUGAUCCAUUAUGAUUUUUGAAGUGUUCUUCCAAAACACUUAACCAAUAUCCUCUCAUUAGAAAUAUAAUGAGUGUUUCUUAAGAAUAUAACACCAUAUGGAAAUAAAUAGUAACUAAAGAAUGAGGUGCACUGAGAAAGGUUUUCAAGCUUUUGAGUUAAUGCGCUCAAAAAGGAUUUAAAACUCUCUUUCUAAAUGCACCAAUGAGAUAGAAGAGCUUUAAAUACAUGAUCAUUAUAUAAACUAGUCGUUAAACAUAAGUUAUUAAUUAAUUAGUCAAUCCAACGAUUAAUUAGAAAACUAGCCAUUAGAUAUAAUAGGUGAUUGUUUGAAGCAAAUAUCUCAAAUAUGAUUUAUCAAUAUCUUAAUUGAUUAGCCAAUUGUUUUACCAAUGAUGUAACCGAUAGUUACUAUUAGUUGUUUUCCUGGUCAUCCAAUGGGUAUCUGAUCGAUUAACCAAAUGAAUUAUACGCCAAAAUCCAAAGAUUGGCUAGUUGAUAUUUUUUUAUAUGAGUUUGAAAACUUCUCUAUCUAACAUCGGAAAAAAUAGUCACAAUUAUACCACAUCAUCAAUUUUAUAAUUUUUGGAACAUUAGCUUUAAUAAGUAGGAUGAAGACUUAUUUUAAAAAAUUGUAACACCAAGGGCUUUUAAUACACCUUGACCUAACAUUACUUUAAAGCCCACAAAGAAAAUAAAUUUGCUUAAGAAUCUUCUCGAAGAAUGCUCUAUCCUUAAAUUUUGAAAUUUUAAGCCUUUAAUUUUAUACCUAAUAAAAGAAAAAUUAAAAUAUAAGAUUAAAUCAUUGUCAUCCUCAUCAUCAUCAGCAUCAUCAUCAUCAUCAUUUGUUUUGUUAUCAUCAAAAUUUAUUUCACAAAACUUUGAGUGAACAAUUACGUAUAAGAAAAUUUGUCAAAUAUAUCGAUUAUUAAUUUAUAAACUAUUCUAUAUUAUUUUAUUUUAUAAGAAAAAUGCGAAAGAAAUUGCUUGAAUCUUGAAAAAGAAAUAUAAUAUAUUGUUGGAAAAAGAAAAAAGAAGAACACCAACUGUACGAUGGAAUGAGUCUAACGUUAGAAGUUGGAACAAAUCCAGAGAGAAGUUGAAUGGGAUUUGGAAGAAAAAUGGAAAUAGAAGUAAAAUUAGGAAAUAAGGGCAUGCACGUUAUCUCUAUUACAGCUCAACGUGUUAGGUUUCCCAUAAUCAUCAGCUGUUUUUUUUUUAAUAUUAAAAACUAAUCAUAAAUAAACCAACUCAAUCUAUUUUCUAACAAUACCAAAAACAAAAUCAGAAUCCCACACAACAAAGAUAAUUAAAUUAAUAAAUAAAUAAAAAUCCCCCCACCUGCUUUUCCCAAUCCCUCCCAUAUUCUUUCCCAUCUACACUACUUUCCCAAAACAUUUUCCCCAUUUUCUCACACCACAAACACUUCUUCUCUUUCUCUUUCUCUUUCUGAUCCCAGCCUGGAAUGUCCCCUGAUUUAUUUUUUUGAUUGGUUUUCAGUUCUGGGUUUCAUUGCUUUGAAUUGUUUUCAUUCACAUUGCAUUCGUUUUGAUAAUCCAUUCGUGGUUUUCUGAUUAGGGUUUGGGUUGUUGCAUGUGGUUGAGGAUUUGGUGGAUGCCGGAUGUGGGUUUGUUGGGAUUCAUGAUUGGGUUUUGUGCGUGAGGUUUUAGGGUUGAUUGGUUUGUUUUCGACAUUUGAUGCUUUGAUUUUGAUGAUUAAUGCAUUUUUCUCUGGGUCAUCCAUUGGGGUGUUAAUUUGGUGAAUCUGAUUGAUUUUGGUGAUUUUUUUGGUGGUUUGGAGUUCUUCACAAAUAAAUGGUAAAUUGGGGACGAAUUUGAGUUUUGAGUAGAUUGAGAUUGAGGCUGAAUUGAGGUGUUGUGAAGUGGGGUUUACAAUGGAGCAUGUAAUCGGUGGGAAGUUCAAGAUGGGAAGGAAAAUUGGGAGUGGGUCUUUUGGGGAGCUAUACAUAGGUGUGCUCUUGAUUGUUUUGAUUGCACUAUUUUGCUUUUUUGCAGUGAUUUUGAUUUCAGCAUUGUGUUCCUGUGAUUUUGUUUCUCAAAAAAGCUUAUGUUUUGUGGUGUUUGAUCUAUAUAGGUGUUAAUGUACAAAGUGGGGAGGAAGUGGCCAUCAAGGUGGUAUGUGUUAUCUCCUUCCAUGGACAAAAUUUGCUAUGUAUGUUUAAUGGGUUUUAAGGGUAAUCUACUGAAUAUUCUGUUGCCAUUUGAUGUAAGAUUUAUUGGGGCAUUGUCUGGUUAGGAACUUGCAAUUACAAUAUUGGAGUCCCUGACUAUGUUCGAGAACCCUGAGGGGAAGUCUAAAACUUGCACCAAUAUUUGUUUCCUCUGCUAUGUCAUGCGUCUAUAUAGUUUCUUUACUCCCCCCUCGCCCCAUAAUGUUGCAUCAAUUCCAUGUUGGUAAUUAAUUUUGCAACAGUUGCAUCUAUGGCUCAUGAUUAAAGCCCAAUGGAACCAUCAGGAACUUUAUUUCUUUUGUGCUUUGUAUUCUAGUUCUUUUAAUUUGUUUGUUUCUCCAAAUCUCAGGAACCUACCAAAACUAAGCACCCUCAACUUCAAUAUGAAUCAAAGUUGUACAUGCUUCUCCAAGGAGGAAGUAAGUUUCUCCUCCUCCUUCUUGUUCGAAGAAGUGAUUUUAUACCUUACAGUGAAAAGUAAUUACUCAAUUGAAGGAUGGACCCUGUGUGAAAAAAAUUAUACCUCGUCCUAGACCUUGUUUGGGCAGGACCAACUUGGGGUAGUGACAUUUUUAAUUUUAAUAUUGACCUUUCUGAAUUUAUAAUACUUGUUUUUUGUCUGUAAUGGGAAACAAAAAAGAGGUUGGCCAUUUGAUGGGCAGUAACAUGCAUCUUUGACAUAGUGUAAACCAAUGUUGGUUAAACUUAACUCUAGGACUAUAUAGCUCCUAGAAGAGAAUAAAGUGAAAAGUAAUUCGAACUUAAAAAGAACUACUUUGUUUUGCUACCUAUAAGAAGGCACUAUUUAAAAAAAAAAUAAAAAAUGGAAGGUAAUUCAAACUUCAAUAUGAAUCAAAGUUCCCUAUAUCUGGUCCUCAAAACUUGACAAUAUAGUCUUUGUUUGGUAAACUGUAUCUUCAUGCUAAGAUGUGGGUAUUGCUAUUUCCUUAUUUAUACAUUCAAAGCAAAAUAUUCCUAGCGUAAAGAAGAACAUAAUUCUUUCUCAGACUGAGUCAGUCUGAUUUUUCUGUUUAUAAAGCGGGAAUUCCCCACCUCAAGUGGUUUGGAGUUGAGGGCGAGUACAAUGUCAUGGUCAUUGACCUUCUUGGACCGAGCUUGGAAGACCUGUUCAACUAUUGCAAUAGGAAGUUCACAUUGAAGACAGUAUUGAUGCUUGCAGAUCAAUUAGUAAGUACACGCUUACUCUAUUUAAAUGUGUCAUGAUUCAUCAAAAUAAUUUUUCCUUUCUGUGUUAUCUUUUUUAGAUUAACAGAGUUGAAUACAUGCAUUCAAGAGGUUUUCUUCACCGUGAUAUAAAGCCCGACAACUUUUUAAUGGGCCUAGGGCGCAGGGCAAAUCAGGUAUUUGUUCCCAUGUUCUUGCAGUAACUUAAUAUGUGCAAAGUAGUGGACAUUUAUGUGCCCAUUAGUAGCAACUAAUGGCACUUUUAAAUCUGUGUAGCUUUUUCCUUUUUCUUUUUUCUGUUUUUUAUCCUGAACAACACAUAAUUCAUCAAAUCAGGAAUCAUAGGUACUAUAAGUUUUAGAUAUUCUUACAGAGAUAUAACCACCAAUGAAGAAAAAAAAGCAAAGCCUAAAACCUGUGCUGCUUUUCAUUUAAUUUCUGAACUUUGUCAUUGUAUGUGUAAAUGAUUAAGUGAUACAGAAAACAUAAUGAUGCCUAACCCAGAAAGAGUAGCUUUUUUUAAUAGACAACAACACUAUAUCCUGCAAGAACAGCUUCUUGAUAUUAUUUAUGGUUUUGGAAUGUGGAGUUGGGUGGAGAUCCUUGAUAGGUUUGUUUGAUGGUAACAAAUUUCAUCCAUCAAUCAUCAAGAAGCUGGUCUUAAGAGAAUUUAACUCAUGGUUUAGCAUGGUUGUAAGCAUGCCUUGCUUUGUAUUCACUGUUGGUCACUGUAACAAACUGUUCCUGAAUUUUUUGCUACAUCCUUCAAGUUCUGGAGCAGUUUUCAAAAGAGGGGUAAAUCUAGGUUAUACCAUUGUGUGUGGCCAAACCAGACAGAUUUUUAUGACUGGAAGGGUAAUAUUUCAUACCCAAAAGGGCCAGUCUAAAUUCAAGAAAAUGAACAGAAUUGGACCAUUUUGGGCUGCCUGAACCAUUCAAUCAAACCAUCUAGUUUUGACAAUAUUGAAAGAAUCAGCAUAGUGAAUGAUAGUAAUUUUUGAAUUUGAUCAUAAUUGUUGAAUCAUGGCAAUAGGACCCAGCCCAUUAUUCUAUAUUCCAUCUAAUGAACUGAAACAUAAUCAAGCUUUAAGAUUUCUUGUCCUAUUCAACUUCUAUUUAUCCAAGAUUUUUUAAAUAAAAAUAGGUGGAGAUCAUUUCUUUUCCCUUUUUUUUUUUUUUUUUUUUGAGCAAAAUCUUAGAAAAAGUACUUUAAAAAAUGAGUGGUUUUGCAUUGAAUACCCCCUAAUACAAUUAUAUUAAUUAUUAAUGUUAUCCCAUUAAAAAUUGAAUUCAUUGUCAUGACUUUUGAGAGAAAUAUGUGCUAUUUAAGAUUACCUUUAUGGUGGAAGCGUGGACAUCAGAAGAAUAAGGGCAAUAUGUACAGAAUGGAUGCUGCUGCAUUUUUUUGGAACCUUUGAUUUUUCCCUUAAAGUUACUCUAUAAAUUUGGGGUCAGAUUAAAAAAAUGAGUCAUUAUAUAGCAGUAUGCUUAUAGGAUUAGCAUGAUUUUGGAUCAAAAUUUAUUUUUGACUAAUGAUAUGCAAACGGGAUUGCUUAGGAUGAGUGCUAUGCUUUCCUAUUUCAAUUCAAGAAUAAGAUGACCAGCAUGGCCCCUGCCUUUUUCUGUUCCUGUUGAAAGGGCAAGUGCAUGCAUCACUACCAUGUGUGCAUGGUCCUAUGGAUGUGUGUGAUUGUGGUGAGGUUGGGGUUUGGUUGGUAUGGUGAUAGGGGAACUCUUAUAAUUUGGGCCAUCUUUGAGCUAUCGUAGUGCAUAUUAAGUAUGCAAUUUGGACCCCUUCCAUUUAAAUAGCUUUAACUGGAUGGAUGAUGUUUGUGAUCUGGUACUAUGUUGUGGUGAAUCUUCAUACUUGCAGCAUAUGGACUAUCUGGAAUUACGUGACCAUCCCAUAUUUGAUAAUACAAAUGUGCACAUUUUGCUUCUUUUUUUAUGUGUCAUUUGAAAUUCAGAAGUGGCUGAAAAGGCUUACAUCUCUCUUUCUUAAACUACAGAGGAAAUGAAUACUAGUUUUGUGGGUGUGGAUCUGUAUUUUCUCAGUUAAAAGUGACGAGGAUCUCUGUUGCAAAUGAGAAUAGAAAAAUAAAGAGAUUUUUUUUUUCUUUUUUUUUUUUUAGGAAUUUAAUCAUAAGCAGGAUAUUUAAGUCUGGGAGAAUUUAUUUAAGAUGGUAAAGGUAGAUGAAGGAUGAGGCGAUUAAUAAGACAGUUUUCUGUUUACUUGUUACAUUGUGUGACACAUUGCUUCAUCUUGCACAUUUGGCUAAGUUAUUCCUGGCUCCAUAUUGGCAGUUAACCUUAGAAUUUUCAUAUGAUACAAAUUAUGUUCUCAACUAAGAAAUUCAGUAUUGUAGUUCGGCAUUCUGGAACAUUAUGAUUUCGCUUUUCAACAUUUAUCGUUGCUAUUUCUUGAUGGAAUUUUGUAAUUACAGGUGUAUGCCAUUGAUUUUGGCCUUGCUAAAAAGUAUAGGGAUCUACAGACACAUAAACACAUUCCAUACAGGUAAUUAGCAGUUCCAUAUAUGUUGUUCAUCUUUAUAGUUUCUCUUCAGCUGCUAACCUUUUGGAAACAUUUUCAUCUUGCUAGUUUUGUGGUUCUUGUACCUCUACUUUUUUGUGCAAAAGUCACUGUUGGCCUUUGCUUGCCUCUAGACAUGUGUAUAACCAUGGAUAUUGUCAAUAUUUGUUUUCCUACUUUUGUCAUUCUUUUGUGUCCAGUUUUCUAGAUUUGUGGUUUUUGAUGUUGAUAAUGGAUAAAGGUUGCAUUUUUAAAGUGGUGUAUGGUGUGAAAAGAAGUUGAAUGCUCUUGGUUUGUAAGGAAUGUAGUAGUGCGGUUCAUUCUUCAGAGAGAGAUCUAUGGAGUUCUUGGUAGAUGAAGGAAGAAGGAUUGUUCUUAGUGGAGAGUGUCUAAGGGUGGAUUUUUCUUUUAGAAUUGUAUUUUGAUUCUAACUUAUGACUAGUAUGGAUCCAUAAAAGUUAGAAAAAAUUCAAAGAGAUUUUAGAAUAGUAUUUUGACUCAAAAUUUAUGACUAUUUGGCCUGACACAAUUGAACAAAUGUCUCAGGUGGCUCAUAAUCAAUAUAAUUCUUGUGAUUCUUGAUAAGUACAUAGCUUCAUUCUGGAAACAUCACUAUGAGGAACACUAAUUGAGUUUUUGCUGCAGGGAAAAUAAGAACCUCACAGGCACAGCUCGCUAUGCAAGUGUUAACACCCAUCUAGGAGUUGGUGAGUAAUGAUCCAAGUUGUCAUAUGCUACAUCUGAUUAUGUUUUACAGAUUCAGAUUCUUUACAUAUUAUGUUCCAUCUAAUUAUGAUUAAUGUAACUGGUAGAGCAAAGCAGAAGGGAUGAUCUGGAAUCUCUAGGCUACGUGCUUAUGUAUUUCCUAAGAGGAAGGUUUGAAUAUAGUAUAGUGCCACUCUAGUUUGAUUUGUUCUUUUGGGCAAUUUCUACCAGAUGGAUAUUUAUUGCAGCAUUAUUCCUUUUCCUUUGCAUUUUCUGAUCCAUGCCGUAUGCUUUCUUUGCAUCAGCCUUCCCUGGCAGGGGCUGAAAGCUGGCACCAAAAAGCAGAAAUAUGAUAAGAUCAGUGAAAAGAAGAUGUUAACUCCCAUAGAGGUGUCAUUUCCUACCACCUGUAUCCUGUUUUCAAAUUUAUAUAGUCUGUAGCUCUGCCAAGAUAUUAGGUUGAAUUGCUAGGUCCUAAAUUUGUUGGCCUGACCUUGAGGUUGCGGAAUGCGUUCAGCAGAAAGUGAGCUUACAUAAGAUGCAAAUAUGUUAACAGGUACUUUGCAAAUCAUAUCCGUCAGAGUUCACAUCAUACUUUCACUAUUGCCGAUCAUUGCGAUUUGAAGACAAGCCAGAUUAUUCAUAUCUGAAGAGGCUCUUCCGGGACUUAUUCAUUCGAGAAGGUAAACUGUCACAACCAUAAUGACUUUUUGACCAUUGAGAUCUAUGUUUAGAUGUGUGUUUAAUUCUAAUUCUCAUCAUUGUUCGUCAUGCCUCUUUUAAAAGUAGCAUCUGAAUCUUGACUUACUAUUGCUGCAGGUUAUCAAUUUGACUAUGUAUUUGACUGGACUAUAUUGAAGUACCCUCAGAUUGGUGCCAGCUCUAGAGGACGGGUCAGUGCUUGUUAAUUUUUUCAGUGUGCAUUUCUAUCUUUCCAAGACUGUCAUCUAAUUUCUCAUCUCUUUUUUCAGCAUUCCACUGGCAAAGCAGGUUUAAAUGCUGGACCAUCAGCUGAAAGACUGGAUAGGACCUCAGGUGUGCUAAAUCUUAUUGUUGUCACUUACCCUUCAAUUUUGAAAGAGUACUAGAAAAUAUUCUUUUUCUGGAUGUUUAAUUGCUUGGUCUGAUUGUCACUGCACUGAUUUAGUUUUUGAGUGCUAGGCAAGACUUUUACAUUUGUAAGGAGAAGGCCCUUUAUUAGUCAUUUUGAUAUGACAAUUUUUAAGAGUGAUAAGUCUCUGAUGGAAUUUAUUUAUUAUAAUGCAGUCUCUACUUCAUUUUCCAUGAAACGCAAAAUGAUCAAUGCCUGUGAUUUAAUUUUUUUGUUUUUUUUCCUUCCUAGGGCAAGAGAUUCGGGAUAGAUUCUCUGGUGCAGUUGAAACAUUCCCCCGAAGAAAUGCUUUUGGUUCUGGUUUGCACAGUGACCAUUCCAAAAACCGGACUUCAGAUGGUGUACCCUCAUCCAAGGAUGUGGUAAUUAUUCUUGUUUUAAAAUCAGCUUUCAUGCUUGCUUUUUUGCCUCUUAUUGCUUCUUGGUCCAUGUAUUCGAAAAUCUGGCUCCUAGGUAAUAUGAGUACUCUCACAUAUUUUUUUUUUUUGUGUACAUGCACACACCCGCUCACACAUGCAUGCAUAGGCCUUUAACCAGCAAGCCUCAUGCUCUAAGCCUAGCUUUUUUUUGCCUGCCUUCUCACAGCUGCCCAUUUCAUUUCUUCAUGCACUUGGGAUUUGAAGCUAAUGUAAAUAUUUGUGUCCAAUUCUUUGAUCCUAAAUUAUGUUUUAGGGUUUGGUUGAUAAUUUUAAGCUAGGUUUAAUGUUUAAUUAAUUAUGAUUUGCACAUUAGCAAUUCUCAAUCUUGAGUUAUUUAAAAAAAAAAAAUGUUGAAAUGAAAGCAAUAGUUAGAUUGGUCCUUUUUCCUUAAAUAAAAUUUUCAAACCCGCUUCAUAUUUUUUCAAAACAAAAGUUCUCCUUAGAAAACAAAGUAUAAUGUUGUAAUAAAAGAAAUGAUUAGACCGGUCUUUUUUUUAUUAAAUAAAAUUUUCACACUUCAUAUGUUUUUUUAGAUCAAAAGCUCUCAAUAAAAAACAAAGUACAACAAAUAAAGAGCUUUGGUUUUAAUAAAAGAAAAUUAUUCAAACUUAUUGUUUAUUUAUAUUUAUUUAUAUUUUCUCUCCCUGUUUAUAUAUAUAUAUAUAUAUAUAUAUAUAUAUAUAAUAUAUUUUAAAAUAUUUAAUGAAAUUAUUUAUUUAGUUCUAUUAUUAUGAAUUGAAUGAAAAUGAAUAAAUAAUAACAUAAAAUUUCAUUGGUGUACAAUGAUAAGUUUAUAAAAUAUAAGUGUUGUCGGUUAAUAUUUAAUUUUUUAUAUUUAUUAUUAAUAAUUUUUUUUUUAAUAUAUUUGUUAUCAUGAAAGUUGUCUUUAACAUCCAUCAUGUUUGGUUCCAAGAAAAUACUAAAAAAAGAAAAAAAAAUGUAAGGAAAAAGAUUUUAUUAUGUUUUGUUUUACUGUUAAAAAUAUGAAAUAUAUAUAUAAUUAUAAUUAUAAUUAGUUAGAAAUUUAUAUUUUUUUAAAUUAUUUAAUCUUUAUGAGAAAGAGUUAAAAUAAAUGAAAUGAAUUUGAAGUAAGAUAUAAAAAUAAUUUAUUGACUUUAAAUCUAUUUUUUUACUUUUCUUCACUUUUUCUUUCUUACUAUUUUUCCUAUCUAUUUUCUUUCCUUCAUAAUUUCAUUCAAAUUUCCUAGGAACCAAACAUAACCUAAUGUGUCCAAAUAGAAAUCAUAGUUUGGUGUCUAAGAGGAAAAAAAACCGUUAUAUUAUUAGAAUUGUUGUUUGGUUUAAAGAAGAAAAAGAUUUGACAAUGUGAAAUAGUUAUUGAUGCUCAUCCUAGUGAAGGAUCUAGAAUCUGCAGGUCCCAGAUGGAAAAUUUUCAUUAUUUUUUAUUAUAUGGACUCUCCUUGUUUAUACUUUUAACUGUAUCAUCAGAUGAUUUCUUAUUAGACAUUUGCAUUCGAUUUGACUGUUAGAUGAUUUCUUCUUAGAAAUUUGUACGAGUCAUAGCAGAGAUGAUCAUCAAUUCUAUACAUGACAUUCUUGCUAAUAAGUUUUGCAUUUAACUUUUCAGCAAGCAGAUUCAGAAAGAGGCCGCACUUCCCGAAAUGGAAGCACUUCAAAAAGAGCUCUCAUCUCAAGCAGCAGGCCAAGCUCCUCUGGAGAACCCAGUGAAGGACGGUCAAGCCGACUAGUGUCAAGCAGCAGCCGCAUGUCCUCCUCCCAUAGAAUCCAACCAGGGUUUGAGUCCAAAUCAUCGUCAUUUACACGCACUGCAGCAACAAAAGGCACACGAGAUGACCCUCUGAGGAGCUUUGAGCUGCUCUCAAUCAGGAAGUGAGAGGAGAAUUGGUUGCCUUAAAAAAAAAAGUGUCGCUGGGGUUUAAUGAUAUCUCUCUUGUUGUAUAUGGGAAACCACUUUUAUCAUCAUGAUUAUUAAAGGUCACACCUUGCAGUUUCUUUCUUCAUCUACAUAUUUUGUGCCCUGUGUAGCUUAUAAUUGAACACACGUCUAUGAAAGAUAAUGAUUAUCUGCAAUUGUGAGCGGCUUUUAUUCUCUGACAAAUAAGCGUUUAUGUUGCUGGCCUUCACAUUUUUUAAUCAUCUGUUUUAUCACUCUUCCCAUGUGGUUAUUGCAAAGGUGAAACAAAGGGGAGGUCCUUACACUUCGGCCUUUGUUCAUGGACUAUUAUUAUUGCCAAUGAACCCCUCCCCACUUGCCCUAGGAUCAAUUCCAUCGCCUCUAUCAACUGUCCAUUAUAUGGGCCAAUAAUAAUAAUUACAUUUAAGUCAAGGGACAAUCUGGCUUACUUGGUAUAUGGAUAUAUUCACCAUGUUUUUUUAGCUGUCUCAGUGUCUGUCUUUCCAUCUGUUUAGGAAUAUUUUCAAACAUAAUUCUCCAAUAUUUUUUUAAAAUAAUGCAUAUUUGAAUAUUUGAAACAUUUUCUAUAUUUUCAAAUAUUUAAAAAAAAAAUAGUUAUCUAUAAUAUUUUAUAUUAAAAUCAUUCUUUGUAUUUAGAAAACAAUUAAAGUAUGUUUUUAACAGACACCUUAUUUUCAAAAUAGUUCCCAAAAACUGUUUAAAACAGCUCCAAACAGGCACUUUCUUCCCCCCCCCCCCCACAUUUUGUUCUUCCCUUUCUUCCUGUUUAAAUCAUGCCUUUCCUCAAUUCUUCCAUGCAGAAGAGAAAAGCCAAACAGGUAACAUUAACAAACAAAAGAAUGGUAAUAAUAUAAUAAAAUAAAACAGAAACAGUUUUGAUGAAUGCCUAUGAUCACCUUGCAGUUGUAGUUGGAAAAUGUGGCUGUUUGUAAUGGUUACCUACCAUCCAAAGGAUGGGAUAGUUUUUUAUUACAAAAGCAUAAUGGUCGUUUUGGCAAUUUGGCAUGAAAUCCAAGAUGUAGAAGUCACCACAAACACAUUGAGGUAGCACUAUAAGAGUUCGAUUUGGUAGUGAUUUUAAGAAGUGCUUCUAACAUUUCUUAACACUUGAAAAUUUUUAUUUUUCUAACAUUAGAAGGGGGUAAAAACGUUUUCUAAAAUCACUGUAAAAAACAAGCUGUAAGAAGAAGAAAGCAAAUUAAAUCAUCCCAAGCAAGAAGCAAAUCUAUGUCCAUCACACAGUUCACAGUAAUGCCAUAAAGCAUUGUCUAGGGUUAUAGGAAACCAACUAAGAGCAUCGAGCAAUAGGCUCUUGGUGGUGCACAAAUGGGAAAAUAUUUACAAUAUACAAUCUUGCUGAAUUCGAAUUGUAGGAAGACCUCUAAUUAUUGACUCUAAGACAAAAAAAAUUUAGCUUCCAGCCCUCAUCUCAUUGAUUUCUAAGGGCUGCCAACCUCUUCUCCAGUUCACUAAUGCCCGAACUGCAAGGAAAAAGGGACCCUCUGAGUUUAAAUGAUAUUUAGAGUAAAGCCAACAACAGAAGGAUACAUGUAAGAUUGCUUUUGAAAUGAAAGUGCAUAGAGGCAGAUCUUCAUACAAGAGAACUGGAACAAUCAGGGAAUGACACAGGCGCAAACAAUUAUUUGGAAAGGGGUAUGAGAAAAAACACAAAUCAUCACCUAGCAACUGCAGUUGUUAUUUUUGCGUCCAGAGCACCUUGUGAACACUUUAUAAUCAAAUUUUGUGGCAUACCACUCAACUAAGCAAGGCCUUAAUCUAGAUCCAUAGCUAACUUUUUGUACCAUAAGAUUCAGAACAUUUGAGUAAUGUUUACAACAGAAAACUGCUACAAUGGGAAGAAUAAGCUCCCUAGCAAUUAUAAUAUUAUAAACUAAUGAAUGACCUCUACCACUUUGGUAUUUUUAAAGGAACCAACUUUGCUACAUUCUUUAUUACUAACAACCUCCAGUAUUUACUAAUUAAUAACAGUUUCAACAUAUUAUUAGCAAAAUCUUAUGCAAAUUAGCAAAAUCUUCAUGCACUUUAUCAUUACUGACUUGCAUUCAUGAAUAUCACGUGGAAGGGGCAAGUCUUGCACAAUUACAACGUGAAGCAAGAAAAAGUGCAAGGGAAAGCAGCAUAGGACAUGGGUGGAAGGAUGAGGGGCAACAUAUGGGUCAAUGUAGUAAUAUACCUGCCAACGUCUUCAGUCUUCUUCCUGGCAAUCUUUCCUUUUGGAGCUGCUGACAACUGCCAAGGGUUCCAGUGCAACACAAUUCAGCUUAAAUACUAAAAUAUGACAUCAACCAAAAAUACGGUAUAGAGAACUAUUCCAAACAAUACCAACCUGUGAGGCAACAUCAACACCAAUUUCAUCCAGCACCUGACACAAAAGAAAGACAAACAAAAUAUAUAUAAAAAAAGGUUAUAUAUUGGCAAAGUAAAAUAAAACUUCAAUAAAGCAAAGAAAUAAUAAAGUAAUGUCUUCAAAUAUGCUUAGUCUUCAAAUAUGCUUUGCUCAAUCAACACUGCAAUUCUAACAGGAAAGAAAAAAGCCUUCAGUUCCUUGUUUUAUAUACAACAAGGUAAGAUCCUAAUUUUCCCACCAGACAUGUAUGCUCCUUAGGAGCAUCUAAUGGAACUCAGAUCCAUCACACAACUACUAUGAGCUUAUUGUUGAAGUAACUGUACCAGGAGUAAUGUUGCCAAGAAAAAAAAAAGGAGGGAAAAUCAAUUUAAAGAGUUUACCUGGUUAGUCAGAUCUUCAGUUUCUUCUUCAGCCUCAUCAUUAUCCAAAGCAUCAUCUAUGGCAUCUGACAUCAUUUCAGUCUGCAAGUAUGAAUCAUAGACAAUUAGUUCCACACUUAUGCAAUCACCACUCAAGAACCAAAUAAAAAGCAUAUAUGAACAACUUUUGAUGUAAAAUACUUCGAAAGAGAAUGGACAAUCUUACAGUCAUAUCCAUUUGGGCUGAUUGCCUCUGAAAUUCUUGUAUCACCUUAGCCUGCUUAGCAGGGGCCAUUUGCUGGAAACAGAACAGACCAAUUACCAAAGGGUUUGGGAUAAAGGGGCAAAGAAUAUGAAAAUUUUGAAAAAAAAUUACAAGAAGGUCUUAAAUGCAAUCAAGAGAAUUAUAAGUCAAAAAAUUUUAUGCAUUGCCUCAUCAUGCCAAUGCUUUCAAGUUCAAGCUUGUAAAAGAGCUCAAUCAUGCAGAGGGAAAAUUCAAUUUAUGUUUAGUAUAUGAAAAAAAAAAUAUUAACAAAUUUACCCAAAUGUAAAAGUCCAACCUUAUUCAUGGCAGCCAUUGCCUUGCUAGCACCUUUCAUGCCAACAGAAACAGAAGUAUUGGCGUGCAUUGCCUGCAAACAGGAUAAACAGUGCUAAGAACACACUCCACAUGUGUACUGGACUAAGUCAAACCAAAAAUGAAUCACAUAAGAAAAUAAGGCAGAGAAAGGGAGAAAGAAGUUUUGAGAAUGCACCUGUGUGUGAGUCGCAAUACCUCUCAUUUGAGCUCGACUACCUUGUAGAUUAGCUAUUUGUUGUCGAAGCCUAACUAGCUGGCGAGCUAGAAUUUUAGUUGCUGCCUGCAAAAUGCACAGACAAGGAAAUAAAAAAGAUAAUAAAUCUGAAAGGCUUAAGGAAUAUAGCUAAGGCAUUAUUCAUAGCAGUUGGAUGCCGGAUGAAUUGAGUCUCUCAGCACUAACAAUAAUCAAGGCAAAUUAAAAUUUAUAACCAACCUCAUUUCCUGUCUUAGCAGUUCUCUUUAUCUCAGCAACAAGCUUCUUUUCCUGUCAUUAUGAUGAAUUUAUAUUAGAUCCAACCCCAAAAACUUAGAAACAGGACAAUCAUUUGGAAGCUCUCAACAUACUUCUAAUUGCAGUGAUCCAAUUUCCUUCUCUAUACCUGGUGGAUGGUAAAAGAAAUUAUUAGUGAAUAAAGAAAAUGUCCCAAUCUCAAAAUCUAGUAAGAAACAAGAGAGAGAAAUCUAGUGCAGAACGUUGAUGAGUGACUAGUUUGGUUCUUCCCCUAAAAAACCUCACUUCUUUAAUGCUAAUGGGUCUAGAAAAAAACAAAAUUGAAAUGGGAUCAGUGGCAAAAGAAUAACAUUAGCAAUAACACCAAUGCACAAAGACCCCAGCCUAUGCCUAUUCCACCCAAAAACAUAUAAAAUUUUAAAACAACAAGAUGACUCUUCACCAAAAAAUUAACAUAGAUGACCCUCUUUUUAGAAUAAGCUAAUGUGCUAUGUUUCAAUUUGAUUAAGAUAAAUUCAUGGGGCCCAGAUCACGAAAAAGAAAAAAUUCUUAUCUGAUAUUACAGACUAAACCAUUAUAUCAGGACACUUUCCCGACCUCAGGAAUUUCUACAAGGGUCGCCUAUCCAAAAUAAUCUACUUGGGUACAGAUAAUUGGUCAUCACCCUACAAAAGUGAACCUGUCUGUCCCAAUGUGCUAACUCUGGAAUGGUCAAUCAGUUUAACAGACUCUGGACAAAUAAACCCACAACCAUUCAUAGGAGAAAUUCAUAAACCCCAAACUACCAAGCAAACUCCCUAUGGUUUUGUUUUAUUUAUGGACAGUUUUUAGGGGAGAAAAUCAUUCAUAACUUCAUGGGAUCGAUAUGUUCUAAAGUGAGGGACUAUUUCUCCAGUCCAAAAUUUCUCUAUAAACCUAAAAAUUUAACAUUUUCCUCAGAAAGGAUUUAACUCGUCAGAAUGCAAAAUCCCAUAAGCAACCAGGCAAGUCACCAACAUUGGUAAAUGUAGUUAUAAAUCCAACAUUUUUACAAAUGAAAUUGUUUCAAACAACCCAAUUAGAUUCUAAAAUUAAAUUCAUAAAAUUGUACAAUUCCCUCCCAUGGAACUCCAUAACUUACAGCAUUUGCUCUCAGAAUCAAACUACAAAUACAAAUUUCCAAAAGCCCUAAAUGACAGAAAAAUACAAAUAAUAAUAAUGAUGCUUCUGACGGUGAUGAUAACAAUAAAAAUUGAGAACUAAAUUAAGCAAAGAAACAUGAAUAUUACCUCUCGUAGCAUUGUUCAUUUCUCGUUUACUCUCUCGAAGAGCCUCUGAAAUCAAAUUAAACAUCCAAAAGAAAAAAAAAAUGAUGAUUCGAUUUUAAACAUAUCAAAACAUACGUAAAAAUACAGAUUCAAAGAAUGAAAUUGCCAUUAAUAUACUCAAUCAUGGGAUAACAAUCGGAACUGUGGCUUCACAUAGUACAAACAAAAAGCGGUGAACAAAGAGGAUUAGGGUUUGAAGCCACCUUUAGCCGUGGGUUUUUUGGAGAAGAUAUUCAUAGCUCUGAGUCACGAAAUGAUGAUUUGUUUUCGAGGUUUUGAAUGAUAUUCCAGAGAUUGGAAAGUGGAGCGAAGGUACCCGGAGAUUUUGGGGUCUUUUCUUGUUUCAAGUUUCUUAGCCUUCCGACUUUUCUAGCUGCCUUCCUCUAUGGUCUAUAGUUUAUGAAUAUAUCAUUUUCAGUCUUUCCAAAGCUUAUUUUUCUAAUUGGCAAUCAAUCUUAUUCAUGGUAUUGAUAUUAAAAGAAAAAAAAAAUUUACUUAAUUUGGAUUGCGAUUUCUCUUUAUAAUUGUGUCAAAAUAAUUUUAUAUCAUCCAUUUAAUUAAUAAAAAUUAAGAGUAUAUCAAACAAUGAUUUUAUCACGAAGUAGAACAAGCCUAUAAAAAGUGUUAAAUAUAUAUAUAUAUAUAUAUAUAUAUAUAUAUAUGAAGUAUACGACAAAAUCUCGAAAACGUUUUUUGAAAAUAUGAAAAAAUAAUUAUAUCAUCAAAGAAUCACUUAUAAUGGUUUUGGAAAAAUACUUGAUAGAUGAUUCUCAUCAAAACACUAUAGAAAACAUUUCAAGUAAAAAUAUUGUCUAACGCAAUUUUAAUCAUAUAAGCUCUUAUGGGAUUUUUAGGCUCAAUAUGCAUAUCGUGCUCCUUAACACCCUCACUUGCAGCUCCACCCUCCCUCACAUGUGGCCUCAUACCCGCAUAUGGAAAGACAAACAAAACAUGUAGCCCCAUACCCACAUGUAGAGAGACGGACAAAAUUUGAAUUCAUAUCCAAUAGAAAUAGACAAAAUUUGUAUUUAUAUCCAACAGUGACAGAUAGAAUUUGAAUUCAUAUUCAGUAAACAAAUGGGGGAAAUGCAAAUUACGGAAAUGGGGUCGAAACUUAAACUUCCCGUGUCAAACCAAACUUUGAUACCAUGUUGAAUUACCCUCAAAUUUUUAAAAAUGUUUCCUAAGAGUGCGUUUGAUAGUGUUUUUACUCAAAAUGUUUUUACUGGAAGUGUUGUCUUUGGAAACGUUUUUUAAAAGAAUUAUCCAUCAAGUGUUCUCCAAUAACACUAUUAGGGAUUUUUCAAAUUUUUAAAGGUGUUUCCUAAAAUUUAUCAAACACCUGAUUUUAAAUAAUAAAUUUAUUUAUUAAACAUUUAUAUUUAAAGUAUUGUAAAAGUAUGAGAUAACUAUAAAAAUAUUUACUAAAUAAAAUGAGUUGUGAACAUGAAGUCAUGAUUGUGAAACACAUUUUCACUAAACAUGGAUAGAUGAGGCAAAAGAGAUUUGAGAUUAAGAAUAAAUUAAUUAUGUUAAUUUGAUACUUAAAGUUGUUUUUUACUCUAAAUUGUGAUAUUAAGUUAUUUUAUCAAAUAUAAAUUAUAUUAAGUCAUUAAGUUGAUUUAUCAAAAACACUCAUAAAUUUUUUUAUUCCAUUUUAUAUUUUUUUAAAAUAAAAAAUAAAUAAAUUAUAUCCACUUCCCUUGAAUUUAUAUUCUAUUAGGCUCCUUCCUUUUAUUUUGUCAUAAUCAACCAUGUCACUAUUUGUUUUAAUCAAUUGUAUGGUAAAGACACCUUUUCAUUUUAUUUUAGUGUUAAAAAAAUAGCUAAAUUUAAAAAAUAUGGAUUUUUUGUUAAUCAAAUACAAAACAUGAAUUAAAAAAAAAAAAAACAUCAGUUUUAUUCUUUCUUGCACUUUCUUCGAUUAGUGACUCAAGGAAGACACCAAAGCUAGGCUUGGGCCACACUAAGGGAGCAUCAAGGCAUGACCUUGGACAUGGUCAUGGCACAUGAACGAGCAUGGUAGCACUCACACAUGGGUUCCACGACGUGUGUGGCAUGCAACCCAUAAUUGCAAUGACAUAAGAUGUGGUGCAACCUUUCCCUUUCUUGGCACUAGCACAAGGACGCUCAACCUUAUGCAUUGAGGUGGCUCGCGAAGCCAUGAGUGCAAUGUCAUGGCAUGUUGUUGCACUAAGGAUGACAUGAUGAUGUUGUAGCAGCAUAAUUAAUUUAGACGCAUGGUUGGUGCUUAGCGUAGGGGCGUAAUGCCCUAUGCAUAAGAAUGACAAGCUAUAGGUGCAAUGUCAUGGCUCAUUGCUACCAAGAAGGACUUAGACAUGGCAUGAGGGUGUUGUUGUAGCAACUAGAUCGAGGCAAACACGAUGAUGCAUGACAGACAUGGGCAAAACAAGGGAGGGCAUUGCAAUAGGUUGGCCCAUGACAUGGACAAUAGACCAAUGACGAAAAUAUUGAUUUUUACAGAUAUAUUGAUAACUCGAUUUUAUGGAUAUCGGGAUAUAUCAAUGGAUAUUUUGAUACAAAAUAUCAAUUAAAUUGAAAUUGAUAAAAAAUCAUCGAAAUAUUAAGAAAAAUUCUAACUUACCAUCCAUAAAUGGUUGAUAAGUAAACACACCUUACCAUUCAUAAAUAUCAUCAAAAUUCCAACUUAUUUACCAUCUCUAAUAGAAAUAAUAUCAUGUAAAUCAAAGUACCAAGGACUUAUCCAUUUUCACUCCUCAAAACAAUAUUUUUAAACAAGUCUUAAAUGUAAUUAAGUCAACCCCUGAAUAUAGUACUCAAAAUUAAUCCUCCCACAGACCUAGCUCAAUUCAUCUCAAGUAAUAAAAACUACUCUCUUAUAAGUUAAGAACACAUCAAUCUUUAAUAUUUUUUUUUUCAAAUGACUUAUUAUAGGAAUGCAAUGUUAAAGGUAUCUCCCAUUGAUGACACCCAACCAUAAGGCAUAGGGCACCAAGCUUGUAAGACUAGUUCACCAACCACUAACUCCUCAAAAUAGGAUCUAAUACCUUAGCACCUAUAAUUAAGUUCAUAUUACACCUAUCCACCCAUGUAGUAAGCAUAGUUCAUCAACCACGAACUCCUCAAACUCCUCAAAAUAGGAUCUAAUACCUUAGCACCUACAAUUAACUUCAUACUCCACCUAUCCACCCAUGUAGUAAGCAUUAAGGUCGAUGACUCCCAACCAAAAUGGCUUAGGGCACCAGGCUUCAAAGACCUACCCUUUGCACCUUGCUUAAGUUUCAAGGUAAGCAUAGCUCAACCAUUUUUAUUCAUCAACCUUUUUUAUUAUUAUUAUUUUUUUAAGUUAGACACAUUGGCCUAUUUCUAAAAUGUCUUAACUCAAUUCAAAAGUAAUCCAUGUUACCAAAAUAAUUGAGUCCAAGUGUCAAGAUUAGGUUAUUUUUUUCAUUUUAUAUCCAAGGAAUAGAAUGCAUAGUGUGUGUUAAGCUCAAAUAGAAAUGACCCUUAGAACAAUGAAAACUUCAAAGUCAUAUCAACUUCAAUUCGCAUAACAAGAUUUCUAAGAUCAAGUAAAUAAACUAGUAUUCAAAAUUAACUUCUUUCAAGUUGAGUAUGCUAAUUCAUCAAUCACAAAUGUUAUAAUAUUCUCAAAAAAAAAAAUGUCAAACAAGUCACAAAUGUGAUUUAUGAACUAAAAAAAAAACAAAAAUCCUAAAAAAAAAAACUAAUAAAGCUAUCAACAUAUCUCAUUCUUUUCCUUUCUAACCCUUCCUCAACCUAACUUAUACAUUAUCCUCAAUGUGCAAUGAAAAAUAUAUAAAGAGAAGAAUGGAAGAUACCUUCAUUACUCAUGAAUUUAAGCUUCAAGAGCUUAAAACAAAAAUAGAAUUAAACAUGAGCACCGUAUGAUAUAAAUGAUACAAGUGAAGGAAAUAUGAAAAAAAAAAAUUUACUAAAAACAAGCUAUGCCAGUAACACAAUGUAUGGGGUGUAAAAUCAAUGUACAAAUGAGGACACCAUAAAAAGAAUCAUUAGGAGAAUAACCAAGUGAGGAUGGCCAUGUGGCCUCAUAAGUAGAACAUAUUAUGGGAGAGAUGAAAGUGUAGAGGAAUUUAUUGGAGACAGGUGACAAAUUCAUUGAGAACAAGGUUGUUAGUUUGAAGGUAGAUGUCAAACCCUUGAUAGACGACUUUAAAACCACCCUAUAGUCUUUUGAAGAAGACAUAGAAAUCCUUAAGAAGGUGAUGUUGCAAGGAUCUCCCUCAGGUUCUGAAGCCCUUUCUAAGAUUCAUGUCUUAGAACUUAAGGGUUUUAAUGACAAUCUAAAUGCAAAAGAGUUAGAGAACUUCGUAUGGGAUAUGGAACAAUAUUUUAAGGUUGUUUAUCUUUAAUGUAAAAAUGGUCUCCAUUACCAAUACGUAUCUUAUUGGUGAUGCUAAACUUUGGUGGCGCAUGAGGAUGAAGGAUGAUGCAAAGUAUAAAAGGCCUUAGAUCACCAAUUGGGAGCAUUAAAGAACCUCCCAUCAACACGACAUGGGUAACCAGAUAAUCUUCUGAAGAGAUUGAGGCACACUGGGUCCAUAAGGGAUUAUGUUAAGGAAUUUAGUUCCUUGAUGUUUAACAUUAAGAACAUGUCAAAUGAGGAUAAAUUAUUCAAUUUCAAUUCUAGCUAGGUUGUAGGGAUGAGCCCAAAUUGAACUUCAAAUGUAAAAGAUUUGUGAUUUUCUUGUUGUAAUGGCUACAACAGAUUACUUGAUGGACUCCAAGAUAGUCAAUGCCAUCUCCACUACACAAAAGCCUAAGUAAGAGAAAGCCAAGAAAUCUAAGGCUGAGGUAAAGACUUACAAGAAGUCAAGAUGGAAGAAAAUGAAAAAAAAGUCCUCUACAAUAUCAAAACAACUAGAGAAAACCACCAAAUUCGUGUAGUAGAUGAUCAUAAUAGCCAAAUGUUUCUUUUGUAAUGGUUUCAACCAUGCCAAAGAUUGCCCAAAGGUAUCAACUUUCAACUCUUGUGAUGAAAUAUUACAAUGGAGAGUUUGACUUAGAUGGUUGUUUAAGAGUCAAAUCCUUUACAAUUUUUAAACAUGAUCCAAAAUAAAGCCUUUGUCUAAAAAAGACUGAUGCAUGCCUAAGCCUUAGUGAAUUGUGUUUGUGUAAAGAUAAUUAUGGAUUGUAAGGUAACCCACAACUUUGUGGCGAUAAGAGAAGCGACAAAGCCUAGGUUGAAACUUGUGAAACCAAAGUUUGAUUAAUCUUGGUUUUAAUGAUAACAAAAUAAGAUUUGAAAUUAAUGAUUAUAUUUCAAGUGUGAUUAGGUAAUAAGAUUUCCAAAGUAACAAUCACAAAAACAAAAUCAAGUCAAAGGAAAAUCAAUAAGAAGACAUAAAAAAAAAAUGUUUUUCAAGACCUAAACUUCAUAGGAUCUUUUUGUAAGGUUAUUGGUGCACUAGGUUUUUCAUGCAUUACAUUCUAUAUUUAUGUACCAAAAUCAUCCAAGAGUUAUUUUAUUUUAAAUCUUUUAAAAUUGGAUGAUUUCAUAUUUUUAAUUAAAACAUUGUAUUAAAUACUUUCCAAACUUGUUUAAAAGAUUUUAAUUUGAAAAGACAGUUGUUAAAAAUGACUCAAUCGGUUGACCUGCUUGAGAAAUUGAUCAACUUGUUCAACUCAAUCGGUCGAGAAGUGCAAAAAACCUUUUCUUUUUUCUAGAAUACUUGUUCAACCAAUUGAAGGGUAGUCAAGGUCCAAUGGUCACUUGCCAGACAUUAAAUGCUAACGGCUAGUGAACUAAUCGAACUAGAGCUCGACCGAACAAACCCCCAACGGUUAGUUUGGUUUUUUUCCUUUAUAAAAAAACUGCAAUCUUCAUUAUUUCAAAAGUUUAAUGUUCAUAGACAUUUCUUGAAUAUAUUUUAGCCUUGUGAGAGUGUUUUAUAGUGCACCAUUAUUCUAAAACUUGCAUAACAUUAAUGCACUUUUCAAUCCUAAUUUUUCUUGUACAUUCAAGCUUAAAGUUUUUGUACCGUAAUUUUGUGAAAUUAUUUUGUAUAUUCAUUUGUAAAUCUUUGAAACAAAGAAUCCAAGUGUGAGAUAUCACUUAGAGAUUCUCAAGUGUGGGAUAUCACUUGAGAGGUUAUUCAAGAAUGAGGUAUAUUUUGAAGAUUGUAAAGGAUGCUUGGAGUCAAAAGUCCAAGAAGGUGGAUUUGAACCAUAAUCCAGUUGUUUUCCUUGAAGGCUUGGUUUGGAAGCCUUGAAUCAGUGGAACCUCAAGCUUGGGAUUGAAACUUGAAGAAAGUGGACAUGGGUCGGGUUGCGUCGAACCACUAUAAAAAUCUUGUAUUUACAUUUUCUUUUCCCUACUCUUUUGCUUUAUAUGCAAUUGUCUUUGUAUUGUUUUAUUAUAUAUUUUCAUACAAUUGCCUCUUAUAUUUAUAUAAUUUAAAUUUGCAAAAAGUGACCAUCACCCUAUUCACCUCUCAUCUAGGGUGAUUUCCUUAAGUUAUAUUAACCUAAUUUUUUUUAACAAAACUAGAAAAAAAAACUAGUAGAAUCAAGACAGUUAGUUGGUAAAACCCAAAAGAUAAAUGACAUUGCUAAGGAAAUCUUUUUUCGAGUAGAAGAGUGGAAGAACACAUGCAACAUACUUUGCAUGCCUGUGGACGACUUCAAAUUGAUCCUUGAGAUAGACUUCUUCUUGAAGGUCAAGAAGACCAUACUCCCACACCUUGAUGGAUUGAUUGUCUUGGAGGAAUGUCAACCUUGCUUUAGACAUGCUUAAAAGGGUAAGACUGUUGGGAAAGGCUAGUCUUAAAUGUUAUCUAUCAAUCAAAUAGAGAAAAGUCUGAAGUAUGAACAAGAAACAUACAUUGUAACAUUGAUUGAGACUAAGAAAGAACAAUCAGUGGAAGUCUCUGAUGUAGUAGUGAUAAUUUUGGAAGAGUUCAACAACAUGAUGUGUUGCAAAAUUGCCUAUGGAAUUGCCUCUUAGGCAACCCACAAAUCACAUGAUUGAAUUGUUGCCUAGCACUAAGCCUCCUACGCAAGUCCUAUAUCGGAUGUCCCUUACUAAACUAUUGGAACUAAGGAAAUAGUUGAAAAAGUUGCUAGAUGCAAGCUUGAUCCAGCCUUCUGGGUCCCCUAUGGUGUACUUGUUUUGUUCUAAAAGAAGUAGGAUGACCCCUUACGCAUAUGUGGAGACUAUUGCGUCCUAAAUAAAAUCACAGUCAUGAACAAAUAUAUGAUUCUCUUGGCAAUGAAACCGUUUGAUAGAUUGUUUAAGGUAACUUAUUUUUCCAAACUUGAUUUGAGAUCGGGAUAUUAUUUUUUCUCUUCUUUAUGCCUCUAUUCCUAACAUCAUGGGAAGUCUUUUCAUAGAGGUAUAAGUGUUACUAAUGUAAACUAUGUAAAAUGGUAAACAUUUGCAACUUAUCAACAAUGAUGAAAAUAUCAUUUUUUACGGAUAUAUAAGUAACUCGAUUUUAUGGAUAUAUUAAGAAAUAUUGAUGAAUAUUUUGACACAAAAUAUCAAUAAGAUGAAAAUUGAUUACAACUCAUGAAAAUGUUAGGAAAAACUUUAAAAAGUGAUAUAAGAAGUAAUAAUAGAUAUUUUGCAGUUUUUUUGUUGAAAAAAUUAAUAUAUGUAUGAUAUAGUUUGUAAUAUUCAAUAAUAAUAUUGUGUGUGUCGAUAAAAAGUAUAAAUUUUGUAAGUAUACAUUCAUUAUUAAGUUAUAUUAAAUAUUAUUAGACAAUAAUAUUGUGAUAUUUGAUUAUAGUAUGUCUAAUUUUAAAAUAUAAUUUAACUCAUUUGUAGUUAGUGAUAUAAAAUAAAUGAUAACAUGCAUAUGUAUAAUUUUUUUUAAAUAUUUAUGUUUUUAUACUUAAUUAAUAUAUAAAUGAUAUAAAAAAAUUUGUUAAAAAAAUUAUCACGAUAAUUUUUUAUAUUUUUGGUGAUCAAUUAAAUGAAAUUUAAAAAUAACAUAAUUAGAAUUAAUUUGUUUAUUAAAAUAUUCUUUAUUUUGUUUUUAUGAUGAGUUUUAAUAUAUAUUUAUUUUGGUGCAUUUAUGUCAUUAAAGGCGAACUUGCCUAGUGGUCGCCCAAGGUUUUGUUUGAAACUUUUGUAUCGAGUUUGAGUCCCCAAGACGACAAUAAGCCAAUUUUUUAGGGUUUGACCACACUUUGACCGAGCCCUUUUCGUUGAAAAAAUGGUAAAAAAAACCGAUAAAUCACCAAAAUUUCCGAUAAAUAAUCGAAAAAUCAAUAGUUCAAUAUUUUCCACCAUGUGUCACUUUAGAGACAACCGACACUUAAAAUUUUGAUGAUAUUUCAAGAUUUUUUUCAUCUUUACUUGUUAGGAAUGAGAUUAUCAUGUGCAAAAACUUCCUUAACAAGCAUAAUCAUCUUAUUAACAUGCUCAAUUAUAAAAUCUAACAGUUUCAUUUUAGCUCCAUUAUAUUUCUAUAAGCUAUUGAACAUGUGAUUCAAAAGCAAUUCCAUAAGCUACAAAAAUAAUAUCAAACAUGGCUUUACUAGUUUUAUAAUCUUCAAAACCAAACCUCCAUCUGAGUGACUUAGUAAAAAUCAAUAACUAAUAUUGAAAAAUACAAAAGGCCAUAUAUACAUGAAAUCACAUGUCAUGCAUAGUAGUUUUGUGUGUAUUUGUGUGUGGUACACCAUAAUAUGUGAGGUUUCUAAUAAAUCUACCCAUUACAUUAAAAGAACGUUUUUUUUUUUUUUUUUACCAUAAUGUCCAAAAAAAAUAAAAAUACAAACUUACAAUAAAAUUCCUAUGAUUUUAAAUAAAAGAAAAGCCAAUCAAUUUAUGACUUUCAUGAUGACAUGUCAAUUUUUUUAGGUGAAUUGUCUCUUAUGGAGCCAAAGUUGAUAUUUGUACUAUCAAUGUAGAAAAAAAACUAAUGUCUCUUCGGGAUGAUUUUGAGUCAAUUAGUGUUUCCAUACUUCAUUGUAUUCUUUUUCCUAAUCUUAGUAAUAUAUUUAAUAAUUGAAGGUCAAAAGACUCAAAAAGGCACUUUUGUUAAAAUCAAAGUAGAGAAAGAUUAAUCUAUGUUUGGUGCAACAUAACAAAGGAUAAAUAAAGAUUUUGCUUUUGUAACAAAGCUUAGUUCUUAACAAUAUCAAAAGUUAUUAGAUCUAGUUUAGGUAACACUUAGAAGGGGUGAAUAGGUGUUUGGACUUUUUUAACCCAAAAAUUAAUAUAUUCAAUUAUUUAACUAUAUAUUUUUUUUAAUUAAGGAAAACCCAAAAAAUAAUCAACACAAAAAGAUAAGAUUUUUACGUAGAAAUCACUCACACAACGUGCAGAUAUAAAAACCAUAAGGUAAGAGGCCUUUAAUCAUAAAUCUAUUGUUUGAAACUAUAGUAUGCAAUUUUACCUACUGGAAGUUAUCUCUAAGCCUUACUCAUCAACACUUACACUAUACUUCACAUCUGCAAUGUAACACCACACAUACUCUUAGUGGAUCUUACCUCAACAUGUGAGGGGAUGUGGAUCUCAUUCUCAACCCAAAGAAUGUGAAGACAAACAUCUUGAGUUUAGAGCUUGUAGAAGACUAAUAAGGUUAUUUCAAUAUUCUCAUCAAGAGCUCAAAUCCAUUUUUAGCAUGGUAUUUAUAGAUAUAAAUACCUAGUUGAUUCAAAUUAAGAUUUCCAAAACAAAUCCAAUUAUAAUUGUAAAAUAAAUCUAAUUAUGUAAAAUUGGAAUUUUGCCACUAGUGCUUUAACAACCUCAAAAGUUUUUAAAACAUUUUUGUUCAAUUUAAAAGACCUUUAAUCCACUACAAGUCUUACAUAAAUCCUAGAAGCCUUUCCCAUACCUUUUUAUACUUGCGUCACUUCGAUUGAUCGUGCAACAACCUUAAGUCUUUAAUGGAAAGAAAGACAUACAACUCAACUUAAAUUACAUAGUUUAAUGUACUAACAAAUACAACCCAACUUCCACCAAGCGAUAAUGCACAAACAUGUCCAAGAUUCAUCGUUAGUACUAUUAUCAACUUAUAUAAGGUAUAAUUUUGUCCAAUAUAAGAGAAAUUUGCACUUUGAAAGGCCCACAUAGAUACUGCAUAUCAUUUGAAUGUGAUCCACAUAUGCAAAAUUUGACCACCACUACCAAUCAACAUUCCUUUGAUCAAGUUUAGAAGAUGAUAAGACAAACUAUUUCAAACAUGGGUAAUAAUUUUAAUGCAUUUAUUUUAUCGAUCUUAUCAAGUAGUCACUUUAAUUGUUGUGUCACUUAUGAUGGCACAUCUAAUCAUGACUUUCAAUUGCAAACUAUAUGCUUCAUCUAAUCCUAUGAUUUAUUCUUCUUCCAUUCGUAUAGUGAUGAUCAUGUGAUUAUUGCAAGUUAUAUGGGUUUUGUGAUUCAUUUUAAUUUGUCUAUUUUCAAUGUGAUGUUUAUUCUAAAACUUUCAAUGAAUUUAAUUUUUGUUGAUCAUUCCUAUGAUCGAGGUCUUGAUAUUAUUUUUUCUUCCUUUGGUUGUACGGUGUAAGAUAAUUAAAUAAGGGAGCAAAUUAGGACAAGUUAUAAGAUUGGAAAGACUCUUCAUUCUAGACACCUUAUACAUUUCCUAUUAUAUUGGUAGAAAAUUAUAUGCUCCUAUUCUUAAAGAGUCAUUUUUUUUAUUUCUUUUAAACAAUCUUCACGUUUUCCUCUUUGACAUAAAAGAUUGUCAUAUCUAUGAUAGUCGACUUAAGUAUUUGAGUUCUACUAGAAAAUUGGGUCAAAUUUUGUAUUGGUAGACAAUUUAUUUUCUUUAUCUUAUUUUUAUUUGAAAAUGUUGUAAUGAAAUAUUAAAAUAUACUUACAAUAAGUCUAUUAAAACGAAUUAGUUUGUACAAUAAAAAAUAUAUUCACUUAUAAUAAUUCAUAAUUACUUUAAUAAAUCUACUAAAAUGAAUUAGUUUGUAAUAUAAAAAUAUAUUCACUUAUAAUAAUUUAUUGUUUUAUUAAUAACAAAAUAUAAAACACAAUACUUUGUUCAUAUAAGUAUAUAUUCCUUUUAUAUCAUGCAUCACAUAAAGUAUUUUGUGUAAUUUUAUUUCUUUUAACUUUUGAGAAAAUAAUUUUCAUUUUUCUUAGGAAAAAAUGAAAACAUUAAAUUGAUGUUUUCAUUUUCUUUUUCUUAUUUUUUGAAAAAUGAAAAUGAAAAAAAUUACUAAAGGUACAACUUAGUAGGAAUUGAGUAGUCUUUUUUGCAACUUUGGUUGGAUUUUUGGUAAAAAAAAGUUAACUCAAAUUAAAUUUAGGUUGGGCUUGGUUAAGGAUGCCAACCAACCUGAACUCGAUGUAAAGAAAUGAAGAGUUUAAUAUUUUUAAUUAAAAAUAUAUAUAUAAGUAGCUUAUUUUAUCAUGUUUAUUUAAGUUUAACAUUCAAAGGGCUUACUAAGGGAGAAAAUCAACCACAUUAAAAUUAUCUUAUGAUGAGGUUCGAUUGAUAUUAAAAAAACUAUUCAACAACAAUCGGAUAGAUGGAAAAUGUUAGGAUGAACUAGAAUAGUAACUGAACUCUAAAGAAAAAUUACUAUUGAUGGUCCAACACCGUAUACAUUUAUGGUGAUAAAUUUCAUAUUAUAUCAUUUAUAGUGAUAUUUAAACUUUAAUUAAUGUAAAGAAUUUAAUUACAUUUAAAUAGUUUAUCUUAUAUAAAAUAGAUAAAUUAUCUUCUUAUAUUAAAAUCAAACCCUUCUUGUAGCAUAUAUGGUUAAUUCUUGCACAAAUUAAAAUGUAAACUUCUUACAAGCUUUUUUUUUGAACUACUAACAAAUUUUUAUAUAAAUUUUUGUUUAUUCCUAUGUGUGACUGAACACAACCCGAUCCAGAAUUUUGACCUUAUUGAUUUGUGUAACUCAUCUAACUUGAGCUUAACUCAUAUUUUUCUCUAACUUGAGCCAAACCCGAUUUUAAUUAGAUCUUAAAAAAAAGGCUUGAAUUGAGUUUGAGCCAACUCCGGUUAUAAAUUGGGAUAGGUUGGACUUUGAGCACAUAUGAUUUAUUAUUGAGUUAAAUAUGGAUUAACUUUCAACUUGAAUUAAUUCAUGCAAGUUAAAUAGAAAAUAAUAUAAAUAAAUAAAUAUAAAUAAUUUCAAAAAAUCAAUUAAUAUAUACCAUCAUGCAAGUUUAGCAAAAAAAAUUGUGUAAACAAAGAGACGUAAAUAAUUUUAAAAAAUCAAUUAUCAUCUAAUACCAAAAAAUAAAAGCUUUUAAUCUUCCCCCUCUCGCCUUGUUUAAACCGUCCGGUUGACCGAGAAAAAGUUGUCAAACAAAAUAAAAAUAAAAAUGGAGCCCCAUAAGUCACGUGACAUCCACCCACCGUAUAAAAAUACGUCUACUUCUACAGAGCCUUUUGCGCUGGGCAGUUUCAGUGCUUUCUGAGCAAGGGUUUCAUCUAAUUCGCUGCUUGUUCCUUUUUAAGGGUUUCUUUACCAUCCGGUUCGUACAAUUCCACCCCGAAUCUUUUCUACACUUCGCUACCGUUCUCCGAUUCUCCACUCUACAGUUUCCCCUGGUUCCUUCGCGAUCUCUACCGCGGCAUCGCUCAGGCGCCGUUGGAGUUGGACUUUAGUGGUUAUAGAUCAGGCGGAACAUUCGAGGCGGAAACGAAGGACGUGAUUUUGAGAGUUGGAGUUUUGUGGGACCCGUCGGUUGAGAAGUCAGGGUUUUGUCGGUUUGAAUUGGAGCUGAAGCAGGAGAGAAUGGGGAGGAGAGUGGAGUGUUGUUGUUUUGUGUGAUUUGGGUGUGGUGGUGUUUUUGGUGGCGGGAGGAGCGGGGUGGUUAGAUUAAUGUGAAGAAUUGGAGAUCUAGGGUUUACAGGCCUGGGCGUUGAUUUGGGUAUUGGGUCUUGCGAUGGAUGACAGAGAGAUGGUGGAUGCUGCGACUUUAGACCCUGAAUUGUUACAACUCCAAGAGGUGUCGUCGUUUGCGGUGAAAGCGAGUCCACAACUGGCUGACGAGUUGUUUGCUCAGUGGCUUUCGCUUCCGGACACUGGACGACUGGUAUGUGUUUUUUUUUUCUUCCUUUCUCUUCUUCUCUUCUGUACUGCUUCGUAAUACACUCUUGUGGUUGAAGAAAAAAUUGUUGAAAGAAAAAAAAACGAGACAAAACUUAGAUAAUUAUCUGAAUUAUGGCCAGUAGUUCCACUAGAUUCGGUGUUGUGGAAUUUCAGUUUUGUCCAUUUAACUAGUCCUGUAGUUCCAGUAGAAAGUUUAAGGAAACUCGGUAAAUAUUUUAUCUGGAAGAUUUCCUUUCCACGUUGACUUGAAUUUGUUGGCGGUUUGGUUUCCACUUUGGCUUGAAUUGGCUGGUUUUACAGUUGGGUUGGGAUGUGUUUUAUUGUGACAGGACAGUCUAUUGUAUAUCAUUUCUAUAAGCGGUUGUUGAGGUUGCACAAAUUAUAACUGAUGUGAUUUUCUAACAAGUAUGUGAUAUAUGAUAUAGAUUGUAGUGGCACUGAAAAUGGAAAAGUGGAAGGGAAAAUUGCUUUGUAGUUCUGAGGAAGGGACAGUUCUGUUGUGAAGGUAGGAUGUUGCUAUCAAAUGGUAAAGACAGAUGUGGAAUAGUACAAAUAAAGAAGCCAUGUGAUAAUUGACUGGGUAACAUUUAAUUUCCUUUUGUUUUGUGCUUCUUAUAUGAACAUUGGGGUUAUCAUGGUGAAAAUAUACGUUUGCAUAAAUAUAAUGAAAGCAUUCUGCUGGUUAACAUAAUAAUGGAAUUGAACAUGUUCCUGCUUUUCAUCUCACCACGGAUUUAAUAUUAGUUGCUUAACGCCUUGUCGAGAUGUGAGCAAGUUGUAGAUACAUUCCUAAUGUUGCAAAUAAUGUUGUUACUUCCUCCCAAUUUACAGUGGAAAGGAGGAGUUGAGCAUUAAAGACUGUUUUUGCUUUGACCCUUUUCUGAUUCUUUAUGGCAAAGGAUUUUCACUAGAGUGGGUUUAUUGUGGAUAGCAUCUUGAAAUGCUGGUUCUCUGUUUGUUUACUUGGGUGCACCUCCUUGUUGUUGGGCACCAAUAACAAAAAUUGAAUCUUAUAUUUAUUUAUUUUCCUAUAUGAAAGAUUCUAUAGUUGUUAUUGCCCAUAUAGGAGUUUCAAAAGAGGAGGUGGAAUCAAAAUGUUCACUUGCAUUGCUUUCACUUGUGUGGAUGGAAAGAAAUGGUUGAAUAUUCUUUUUUAGGAAAACCCCAAAUAAGAGGAAGAGGCUUUGGAUAAGACGAUAAGUGGGUUCUUACCUUUCCACUGGUCUUUUAAUCCUAAAGAUUUGAAGGAGUGCUUCUUAAAUUGGUCUUAAGAGUUGCAGUCACGACUUGUGAGUUUGGAAGAUGUCAUUUGUCUACCAUUUCCUAAUGGACACCUACACCUACACCUACAAAUGGGUGAAUUGAAUUUGAUUGUUGCUCCUCAAAAGACAAAUUGAUCCAUGUGGCAUAUUUAGAUACCAUUCUCCGAAGUAGUGUUUUGUUUCUUUGAUGCCAGUAGCGUGUGGUAGUGUCAUUAAAGUGGGAGCUUAUUGCCUUCUUGAACGAAUUAGAGAAAGCAAUAAUUAGAGUUAAGAUAUGUUGAAAGGGACUUCUUAUUUGUGAUAAGUUGGCUUUUUCCUUCCAUAUUCCAUGUUGUUGGAGGAUCAAACAUCUUAGAAGAGAGUAAGGUUUUUAAAGGCAAUUGAGUUGUCUUGUCAUUCCUUUUUUUAUUUUUUUUCUUUGUUAGUAAAUUCAAUACAUUAAUUAUUUAAAAAACGUGCUAUGCUAAGAAUGGUGAGUAAUAAUAAAUAAUGUGCUAUGCUAGGUAUGAUGAGUUAUAUAUUAAAUAUUUGUAUUUUAUCAUGGAGCCGUUGUUGGGUUUUUCUUUCUUGAGUUAGCAUGGUGCACUCUUUAGUAAGAGGAAAUUUCUUGAGUUGGCAUUGUUCAUUUGUGGGGAAGAAGCAAAAGAAAGCAUGGAUGAUCGCUCCUUUGUAUUUAUUUUGCAAAGUUUUCAAAGGCGAAAGCAUAAGGUGAGGUGUUUUUAUGCCUUUGAGGCAAGGCGUAAACCUCAAAGUGUUAAGGCGUAAGCCUUUUGAGAUUAUCAUUUUUAUAAUAAUUAAAUAUUAAAAUAUAAUUUAAAAAUGUGUAAAAUAUUUAAAAGAUAAUUGAAUUAUAUAAAUUUUUGGAAUAAAUAUUAAAUCAAUUACAUAACCUUUAUUUAGAACAUAAAAGAAUAAAAUUUCAAUUAUAUAAUGAAGUUCAAAUUCUACAAGUUCAUAUUCUAAAUAAUUUAAAAAUUAAAUCAAUUGUCUAAUUUUUUUUCUAUUUGAAAAAAAAUAAUAACUAAAGAAAUUUACAAAUCAAAAUAAAAUCAAUUAUCUGAUUUUUUUUUCCUAUUUGAAAAAUUCAAUCAUUUAAAUUUUUUAGGAUUUUCUAUAAAAUUAAUUAUAGAAAAAGAAAUUCAAUUUUAUCUAGUUUGCUAUUUUCCUAUAUAGAAAAAGGGGGAAAAAAGGAGGUCGGCCUCAUAAAACAAGGAGAUCGAUACGCCUUUUGAAAAAAAAGAAAAAAGAAAAAGAUAAGGAAAAAAACUAAUAGGUGUGAAAUAAAACAUUAUUUAAGAUUGAAAAAGAAAAGAAAAGGGAAAAAUAUAAAAUGAAAAAAUAAGAUAUAAAAUCGAUUUGGGAGAAUAAAAGAAAUUAGAAUGAGAGAGAAGAAAAUAAAGGAGAAUGAAGAGAGAGAAGAAGGAAGAGCUGAGGACCAUACUUGGAUAUCUUGUUGGAGUAACGGGAAGAUGUUGAAGCUACCUACACCAGAGUGAGUUGCUGCUGACAAUCCAUCAACAGUGAGUUAAGAGUUAGGGUUCUUUGUGUUUUCUCCUUUAGUUGCACUUUCUACAGGCUCUUUUGGUUAAAUGACAACCCUUUUUUGUUUUUUUUUUCUAGUCGCAACAACAAAAAAACCACAGGCUUAUGCCUUAAGCACUAACACAUUGAACAUGCACUGGAAGCGCGCCUUAGAUACACUCUGACUCUAGAGGUGUACGCCCUUUGGGAGUCUAGCACUUUUGUGAAUGCUUCAAGGCAUUUUAGAAAAGCUUAGCCUUAAGGUGUGCCUUGAAGUGUGUCUUACCAACGCCUUUGAAUACAUUGCUGUUUUGGACAUUAUGGAAGGAGAAAAAUAAGAGGCUGUUUGAAAAUAUAGAACAAUUGAGUCAAGUUAUCAAAUCUUCUUUUAUGUGUAUCUUUUUGGAUCAGGUCAGAGUGUAUAUAGAUGACUAUUCCUUAACCAUGAUAGGCUUUGUAGAUUGGUUGGGUAAUAAGGGGACGGAGGUUGUUUUUUACCUUAUUGUCUUCCUUUUUGCUUUUCAGUUGGUGCUUAUUGUAUGCAUCAUGUGAACUUUGAUGGACAGUUUUAAAAGGUGCACCUAAGGUGCAAAAGUCUCCUAUAGCUUAGGUGUAAGGCGCAACACUAGGUGCAUGCUCGGGUGAAGUGAAAACUAACCUAGCAUGCAUUUCGAUUUUUUAAAAAAUGAUCUAAAAUCUAAUUCAAUCAAUAAAAAGUUUAAGAUUCCAAACAUUUAAAAGAAGCAUUAAACAAAAAAGUAAUGAAAU